rnacentral:lncRNA from 1 species
GUAAGGGAGCUACCAAUUGAUUUUUAUGGGGGGGCUAGGAUGAAAUUUGAAAAAAAUAGGCAGGACAGGAGUUUUGAGUAAAAAAAAAAAGGCAGGAUGAGACACAUUUUUUAUGUAAAAAAAGUCAGGAUAAACUAAAAAAAAAAAGCAGGACCGAAUAGAGUGAAAAAUAAAAAGGCAGGACAGAGAUUACAACUAAAAAAAAAUGCAGGACAAAAUUUUUCAUCCUAGCCCCCCCCCCCCAUAAAAAUGGUAGCUCCCUAAACUUAACUUUGAUUUAAGAAAUGAAUACAUGUAUUUGAAGAAAAAGUGAGAAAUCAAAAGGGUGAUGUCCCUUUGAUCAGGUAAGCUGGUUUACCACCAGCGUUUAUUAUCUGACAGAUAUGCAUGCAUGGUGACCAUACAAACAAUGAAAUCAACAAAAAAUCAUUAUAAACUCCAUAUGUCCAAAGCUCUUUUCCGGAUUUUCCUUCACCAAAAACGUUUAUAGUAAAAUAGUUGGAAGCAAAAUUAAGGAUCUAAAAGAACCAAUACAGGUUAAAAGCUGUAUGACCAAAAUGACCUACAAAUAAUAGCAUAAUCCCUAUAAGGUCAAGGAGGUUGAAAUCUUAGUCCUUUUUGUAAUUUGUCUGUCGAGAGUCUCUCUAAUAACAUUAAUUGUUACAAAAAGAUGUUACAGUAUGAUACGUUUAACUUAAGUCUUAGUAUUUAGUAACACAUUAGUAGCACGUGUCAGUAUAAGUUAUUAUAAUUAUCAUUUUAAGUACAGAAGUCCUUGUGUCAAUUUUUUACUAAAUAAAUCUCUUAUCUACUUUUCAAUCGAUCUCAAGUUAACAAUUUUACGUUGAACAUUCCAAUCUCUUAUUGUUUUUUGGGGUUAUUUUUUUUUUUUUCAUUUAGAAAUAAAUAAGGCAUACAAUUGUAAAUGGCACAUAACCAGUUCAUGCUGUAACCAUGCAAACGUUUUGUAAUAUCUGCAUCAAGGUGAGUCGUAAACCAGAACAGGUGUUCAUAGCACUUUGUAUCGUUUUGCAUAUAAAUCUUAUCUCUUAACUAAUCUGUCUCGAAUCCGUUCUUAAAUCGGUUUGCCAAUUUCUAUAUUAAUAAAAAUUGACCUCAUCAACCACAAAAAUGUUAACAUUACCUUAGAGAAAAGAAUUCACAUAAAAGUGAAGGACUAAAUUGCCGUAAAGCUCAAAAGAAACAAGUUACGUAAUCGGUUUCUGCGUAAGCACAUAUUUUUUCCGCCAUAAAUCAUUGAUGUUUACAACUUUUGUUAAAGAGCUCGUAUUGCAAUGUGAGUGUUAGGGCGAAAGGUUCGUUUUCAAGGACUCUCGAUAACGAUGUCAUUGACAUCCUGACGAACCACCCACGUGACAAGGCCAGUGACAUCAUAAUCAAUAGGUCGUGAUUAGGGCCUGAUCUACGCGAUGCGAAGUACUAAGAUUAUAAUAUAUGUAUAUGAUUAUUCCUGAUUUGUAGGCUGAGAAUUUGAAAUCACUACUCGUGCACUACAUAUCUUCUCAUAUGGCGGUGGACAUCUAUAGGAAUGGAGCUUUGGAAAAAGUAAAAGGGCGAUUGCAAAAAUUGUUGUGGCGGAUCCAGGGGGUCCCCUCCCCCGUGGUUAGAUCGCCCUCAAACAAUCUCCUGUUUCACCCUACCCCCAAACCACACACACGCCUAAACUUAUUUAUUUUCACUUCCCGCCUUAAAACAAAUUUUUGAGUCUAGGAAUUUGGAAUGAACUACAAAUUAUUUGGCCUUUAAAGUCUUCCACAAAAGACAAACGAUCGUUUUUUAAAUGUAAACAAACUUUUACAUUUUGUCCUAAAAAGGAAAUGAUUAAAUUUAAAGACCGAUAUGUUUGAAGGUGGAUUAAGUUGGCCGAAGGUACAAAAAUAAUCUUCAUCCCAUCACCCUCCCCAACCACUUUAUGGAGCUACACGUACAUGUACAUAUGAUCGCAUAUGGUUUAUGAAUAUAACUUGUUCCACUCUAAACAUGGCCUAGUACGGAGCACCCUUUUUUCAAAAAUCUAUAUCUGCAUCUGUUGUAUAACAAUUAAUUGACAUAUUAGGUUACAUAAUAAGAUCAGAGCUUUUAAUAAUACCUUUGAUUUAUGUUAUUAACACUUCGUAGAAUUUUCUUUUACAUGGGGCUCUGUGUGGGGUUUCCAGAAUACAAAAUGAUGGACCAAGACUACAAAUAUAAAGAAUAAAAACAAAUGGGCACCUAAAGUAAAAAAUGGAGAUUAAAGGGAGGCUUUAAAAUAUAAAAAAAACAUAGAUUACUGGAAACCAAUAUAGGAAAAUAGAAAAAUGACAAUUGUGAUUUUUAAGUCCCUCCUAAAUGAUAAACGCCUAACUCUCGUCAAUAUCAAAGGUAACAACUUUAUUGACUUAUGUGAACUGAUUUUUAUUGAACGUCUAUUUAAAAUUAUCGCAAGAGCAGUCAUACUUCUCGUCGCUAGUGUCAUUCUAAGAAAAGAAAUUUAAAUGGUUCCAGCUGGCCAGCAAAGAUGUCAACUUCUGCGUGAUUUGGUUUCUGGUUGAGAGUUUUCUCAUUUGCACUCAUACCAGUUCUUCUUACGUUUUGUACAUAUCGUCGUGUUGGUAUAUCUUACCAGCCAAGACAUGCCUUCAAGCUUCGGGCUAUGAAAAGACACAUUCUGUAUUGAUUUGAAAGUGAAAGCAUUUAAUGCUAAUAGAAAGAACAAAAAAUAAUAAAAAAGACAGAAGUACCGAAGAGGUUCGUUUUAUACAUGUUUCACUGUAAAAAAAAAAGUACACACCCUCCUCAACCCACAACCUCACCCCCGAUUAUCUAUUGUCAAUUGGUCGUCCCCAAAACUAUAAUGUUAAAAUUGGGUUAAUACCCUUAAAAAUGCAGAAAACCAGAAAACAGUAUUAUAUAUGAAAUCUCUAAUAACACAAUCACUGCAUGAGUUUCCAACAAACAUUUUAACCUUGUCCUCAAAAUGUACACCCGAACAAAAGAAACCUUGAAUCUAAAUUUAAAACUGUUAGUGACUCACACAUUACUCAGUGAUAAGUUAAAAACUUUGUUUUGUCAAUAUAUGUCGAAUUUAAAUACCUUACAGGUAAAAUGAUAAGCGAGAUACAAAAAGAAUUUUAUAAAUUCGACCUUGGCCUUGUCAAAAAAGUUAAUAACGGGGUCAUUUACUAUUAUAACAAUGUAACUUUAGACGUGGUCAUUCGGAACAUUGUACAAAUGUAUGCAAUCUGUCUUUCGGAAUUCUGGGUGUUUUAGAUAUUUGAAUAAAGGACGAUAAUUAUGAGGUUUAGGUCAGUGAGACGCUUGUUAGCUUAUCUGCACCGGGUACAUGUUAACAUUACCAAUGCAAAUUGACGAUAUUUUUAGAUCUUUUAGCGUUCAACACACAAGAUUUGAAUAUUUAACAUGUAAAUUUAUGAUAAAUACUCAAAGGAAUUAAGCUUUUAUGGUUAUUUGAGGAAAUUGAUUAACUAAAUUUAGAAAAUAUUUUUUUUAAAUUUGGCAGUUUUUGGAAAACAGAGUUAUAACAGCAAAUACGUAAUUUAAAAUGUUUUAAUAAGGAGAUGUGGUAUUAUUGCCAAUAAGACAGCUAUUCACCUGAGACCAACACAUGUAGAUCUAUAUAUAUAUAUAAGUCGCCAUACGGCCUAUAUACAUGUAUAACAAUUAGCAAAACCAAUACCGUACUGUCAGCUGUAAAAGGUCAGGGCAUGACAUAGUUUAUUUAUUUCUGUAUUUUAAGUGUGGGUUUUACAAGAUUGAUACGAAAAGUGACCGUUUUUUAAUUCCAUAUGAGUUUUCAAAAAUAAACUUAGAAUAAAUAGAUUUAAUAUCAAAUAUUUCAAUUCUUUUGCUUCUUUUGCAGUGUAUUUUAGUUUAUCUAUCUGGUAAACCAAGGAUUUAUGAAGGGAUUUUUACUAUACAUAUAUCCAUAGGGUUGAGAACUAUGACAAUUAAUUUUAGAAUAUUUACGUUACACACCCUAUUACCUGCCAUGAGUGUUUUACAGAAUAUAGCAUGUCGUCGGUAUAUUAUUUCUUAUUAUUUGUUAUUGUCUUUGAGCAAGCUUAUUUUUCAUAGUUUGUUCAUAUCUUAUGCUGUAUCAUCACUGUCCCAGGUUACGGGGGUGAGGAGUAGUGGGUAUUGAGACUGCUAUCCUCACUACUGUGAGGACGGGUGGCAUUGGGAGCGCUCAAAUACUAGAACACGUUUAGUUCAGUGGUUUGUAAAUUAUUUUGUCACGAAUUCGGCUUUGUAUAGGUUUUCAAUUGAAUCGUUUCACAACUUUAUGUAGGGGUCUUAUAUAGCCAAGUUGAACUCUACGGUAUGGUGUUUUUCUCACUGUUGAACAGUUGCCUUCAUUUUUUCCACUUCACAUUUGAACUUUCAAAUUGUUAAAUAUUCUCUUAAUGGAAAUCAUUCUUAUCCUUAUUUUAUUUUAUUUGUUUUCAUUCUUCCUAACUGUGCAUGAAAUAUGUUUCAGUCUUAAACUUCAACAAAAUAAAAGACAAAAGUACAAUUUAAUUCUUUAAAAUUAAACAUUUUAAAUGGUAUAUGUCUGGUCAAAUCCUCCAAUACUAACCCACGCACUCAACACCAAACCGAAUCACAUCAAUAGAAAAAAUACGCUAGAAAAAAAACUAUUACAAAAUCAUUGUGAACAAAAUGAAUAGGCAAAAUCAUUCUACUAUCUGAACAUAAAUCCACUUCAUUCUUCUUAUACACUAAAGUGUAUAUGCUGUAAAGUAUCUUAUCUAAGUAUAAACUAUUUUAAACUCUCAUACUAUUAUAUAUCUUUACUCUGACAAGAAUCUUUUUUUAAAAUACGACCCGAAUAUGACAUGGCAGUUGAUAAAAUUCUUAUGUUUGAAAUAUGAUAACCAUUCCAGGUAACUAAAGCUGAAUUUGGUAAACAAACCAUCAAUUUACAUGUACAUGAUUGUAUGUCCCUGGGUCUAACCGGUUAUUCACCUAUAGAUAUACGAUUAUAAAUACAUGUGCACGGGUUGGCUAAGGGGUCAGCAAGGAACAGUAAGGCCUUUAUCAAAUGAUAAUUCAUAUUGUUUUCAAAUAUCUUAAAUAGAUAUAAGAAGAUAUGGUAUGAGUGCCAAUGAGAAAACUCUCUAUCGAAGACACAAUUUGUAAAAGAAAACCCAUCAUAGGUCAAAAUACGGUCUUCAACACGGAGCGCUGACUCACACCUAACAGCAAGCUAUGAGGGAUCCCACAAUGACUAGUGUUUCUGCGUAAAAAGAUGGGGAAAAUAUAACGAGCGAAUGUUAACUUUCUUUACAUUUAAACAAAUUGUUGGGAAAAUUGUUUUAAUGUUUGUAGUCGGUUUCUCUUGUCAAGUGUAAUAUGUUGAUGUUGUUUAGUCAUGGCACUGUAACCUGUUGUUUCUAUAAAAAAAAUAUUAAUAUUUUAAUCCUCCCAAAAAUGUCUCAGCUUACUUGAUUGUGGUUACUCUUUUGGUUCCCCUCGAGUCUUAAAUUGAUAGUGUUUUUGCGAAAACGGGAAAAAAAAUAUUUUAAAUAUAGUUUAGAGGAUAGGUAAUAAUAUUUGUCACUAGUUUUCCCUCUGAUGGAAUCUAAUUUUAUGUGCUUUAUAAACAACAUAAAAUAACAUAUAAAGUAUUGCAGACAGAUAAAGGAAACAACAUUGUGACUGCCAAUCCAAUUAAGAAUUUGUUUUAAUGUUUGGUUGUAUUGGACAUCUGUAAUAAUAGACUGGGAAAUUUAAAACUUUACUUGCAAAUGAAUUGCAUAGAAAACGUUGUUGGAGACGUACAUAUUCAUGUAUGUUUUCCACCAAACAAAUUCAAUAAGUUAUGUUUGUUGUUGGGAACUUUCAUCUCCUGUCCUUCAUAUCAAAGCUCUGUGCCUGUUUGAAAGAUAUUACGAGUUUUUAGUUUCUAUACUCAAAAUGCAAAAAAAAUAUAUUCUUAUAAUCAAAGCACAGGUAGGGUCUUUCAGAUAUAAAUAAUUUCAUCGUGUUUAAAGAUGUACUUCGAUUCAUAUUUUACAAUAUUUAUUUUAUGUAAAAUUUCCAUUAUUUAUUCAAACUGUCUUCAACAUUGCUGAUGACAAUAAUUGAAGUCCUUUAGAAAACCUUUUUAUAAACCUUCCUUUCAGAAUCUAAUAUUCAAACCCCUGGUUUGUUGUGGCGUUUGUGUUGCUCAGUCUUUAUAGUUAUUUCUAUUGUGUAUCGAUGUUUGUCUUUCUUUUUGUUUAACCUUGACCUUGUCAGUUUAUUUCAAUCUAAUGAGUUUGAAUGUCCCUUUUGUUACCUUAAGUUUCGCCUCUCUUUUCAAUUGAAAUGGUUUUUAAACAACUGUCUGAUUUUGACCUUGAGAGAGAAACAAAUACAAAAUAAAGGUCAUAUGUCUUUGGUAGAGUGAACUUUAUGUACUUAAUCUCAUAUUGCUCCCGACACACGGCACCAAAAUGGAAAUAAAUGAAACGCAACAAAAUAAAUAGACGAGAAAAAUAAUUAGAACAUUAAGCCGAAAAAAUAUCACUUUGACUGUUAUUGACGUAAAAAAAAUACAAUGUAUACUCGAAGCAAGCAAAUAACGACGUAAUUAAAACUCUCGCAAGAUCAGAAAGGAAAUUACAUUUUAGAGGAAGUGAUCAGCUUUUCAUUUAAUUGUUUGGAUUGAUUUCUAGUUUUCUGACCUAUGACCAAAUUCUUAUCUAUUGCAAAUCAUUGAUCCUGUAUCUUUCAUAAUUGCCAAUAUUUUAUACAAGUCAUUAAAUUUUAUUCUAAAAGAAGCAAUUAUUUCUAUCAGUAAUAGAGAGACGCACCUGUUUAUUCAGCCAAGUUUUCUAGCAUUGUGAAUACUCGCGAGAGAUAAUUGACACUUGAAAUCGAUUUUUCAAAUUGACAUUUCUAUCAGUUUACAGUACUUGACCGUUCCGUUGCCUAGUACAUGAAACACCUUGCAUUGAACAUUUAUUAUAACGUUUGUUAAAGUAACUUUCGUUGUAUAAGACAAACAAUGGAAACUUUCACAAAGUAGCUUUUGUUGUAUUAUAACUCUAAAGUAGUCAUUUACGAAACUAAAUAUUUAAAUGUUCGUUGUUUUCAUAUACGAAACUAAUGUUCUUACAAAUGUUGACAGAUUCGAAAUUGGCAAAAUGUUUAAUCAGACAAGGCUGAAUAACAAUUGGCAGAAUAUUUGAUCAGACAAAGCUAGGAUUUUACAUCAGUUCAGAACACCUUUUUAAGUACCAAUACUUUUGGGAUCUGUUGGGUUGAAUUCUCAUAUGCAUUAUAACAAUAUUUCCUUUUUUAUGUAAGCGGGAAAUUGUGUUCAUUUUCACGUUUGUGCUUUGAAGUGAGUUUAUUCCAUCUGUUUCAAUAGCUAUUGUAAUGUCUUACAGCCUUUUACAAUUGACAACCAUAUAACAGCUAGUAAAGUACCUCGGAGAUUUCAACUUCAAUUUUUAUGAAUAUAACUGCUUGCUUAAAUUACAAUCAAAAUUGUAUAUAAUAUAUAUAUACAGAGAAAAUUAUGUGUUUUACAAUAAAAGAAAAUUAAAGCAAUGUAACUUUUUUCAUAUUUUCACUCAAAUCCGAAAAUAUUUCAAAAAUCAAUUUGAAAGUCUGUUUUAGCAGUGUUAGUUGUAAUUGAUAUAUUAUUUAUCAUUAAAACCCAAAGUGCUAAUAAGGUACUGAUUACACCAAUGAUACAGGGGACAUGGUUAAUUAAUGACCCAAGACACACAUUUCCAUAGACACUAAAACGAGAAAGCACAUAUUAAAACGAACGUUCAGUGUCGUUUUCCCCGUAUAUGGUGACAUUAGAUUGUUAUCGCGAGAGAGUAAUUGAUGGGUUUUCCUUGUUAUUCUUGAACUGAGCAUCGCAAAAGUCUUUAAAGAGAAUUUACACGACCUUUCUAUGCCAUUGAAACCUGUUUAAACCGAACCUCUUCGUGACUUAGAUUUUGCUCGGUUUUGUCAGGUUCACAAAACAUACAAUUUGAUAUGAUGGUUCUUAAAACAUGUUUGGUUUAUACAGGUUUUCGGUGUAUGCAGGAUUCGGUUUAGCCAGAUUUCACUGUAUGUGAUGUUGUUUUGUUAUGCCUGUUCUCUUCGUUUAUAGAGCAUACCAAGUUAUAAGCAGUUAUAAUUAUUCCCGACAAAUUUUAUAGAGACGCUAUACCAGGCAGCCAACAUCGGACUAGGAUGGAAUUUGAAAAAAGGCAGGACAAUAGUUUGAAUAAAAAAGGCAGGAUGAGACACUUUGCAAAAUAAAGGCAGGAUGACAAUUUAUGUUAAAAAAAGGGAAGACAAAAUAGAUUGAAAAAUAUAAUUUAAAACAGGAUAGAAAUUACCACUAGUCAGGACAAAAGUUUCCAUCAUCCCCCCCCUUUUUUUUCCAUAAAAGUAUAAAAGUAGCUCCCUUUUUUAAAUUUAAACUCCUCGUACGAAUUUGAAAACCCAUUUCUCAUCAUCAAAAUUUGGUUCAUGUUUUUGUCAUCAUUAUUCUCUAAAUUAAUUUAAACAUUUUACAAUUACACGAUAUUUCCUCACUAUUUUGCUUUUGUCAUAAUUCGAAAAUGCUUUUGCUUUGUUACUGGAUGUUUUUUAUCGGUUAAUAAAAGAAUUUUUCCGAAUUGUUGUAUUUUAUCGCAAACUCAAGUUCAUAUUCAUAUAUCGUUACAUUUGUUGACCAGUACAACAUGUAGUAUAAAAUGAGUGAUGAUGAGUUACGAAUUUAAAAAUCACAAUUGCCAUUAGCGACUACAGAACACCAAAUAGGGAGCACAUUUGAUUUAUGGGGGGCGGAUGAAAUUGAAAAAAGGCAAACAAGGUUUUGAGUAAAAAGCAGGAUGAGAACUUGCAAAAAAAAAGUAGGACGACAAUUUUAAAAAGUCAGUAACUAAAAAAAAAAACAGGACCGAACAGAGUGAAAAAUAAAAGGCAGGACAGAUACAAAAAAAUGCACAAAAUUUUUCUAGCAUAAAAUCAAAUGUAGCUCCUAACGUACAAAAAGGUAUUGGUAUAUACUUGUGUACGAAAACAACCAAAGCAUGCAGCUCCUGUAAUUCGGUGGUUGUCGUUUGUUUAUGUGUUACAUAUUUGUUUUUCGUUAAUUUUUUUAUAUAAAUAAAGCUGUUAUUUUUUUUCGUUUGAAUUGUUUUACAUUGUCAUUUCGGGGCCUUUUAUACUGACUAUGCAGUAUUGGUUUUGCUCAUUGUUGAAGGCCGUUCGUUGACCUAUACAUAGUUGUUAAUUUCUGAGUCAUUUUGGUCUCUUGUGGAGAGUUGUCGCAUUGGCAAUCAUACCACAUCUUCUUUUUAUAUCCUCAACAUUCUUCAACGCAACAGCUUCGGGAUGUUCCAUAUAUUUCCUAUGAUCUCUACAUCCUUUCGCAACUGGGUAAUUCGGUUCGUAAUUGAUUUUGCAAAUGAAAAUAACUGCCUUUCUUUCGACAAAAAUAAUACCCGUCUGACCAGUUCUAUUCGACACUUUACAUACAUAAAUAGCGUCAUUAUUUAAGUAAAAUCUCAAAAAAUUCAUUCAGGCUUUUCAUGAGUUUAAAACAUAGAUUUCAAAAACUAAAUUCGAUAUAAUAAUAAGGUGUGGUAUGAUUGAACACGCCACAAGAGACCAAAUGACUUUAACAACGAAGAAACACUGUAUACGGCAUUCAACAAUGAGCAAAACACAUACAGUAUUAUUAUAAUAAACCGAGAUGGCAAGUCUUAAAAACAAUCAUAGAAAACUAACGACAUGCUUUUUGAUUUUUAAAGUACUCUUUUAAGUAGCAUCUUAAAUUGUGUGUUUUUUUUAAUAUUUUCAUUACAUCUAGCUUUUUCAUAGUAAGUUUAAUGCUAAUAAUUCGGUUGUCCAUGGUAUACCUUUGCUACGAUGACUACAUACCUCGUUGUAAUUAGAAAGUCGAUAACCGGGAGGAACUGGAUUAUUCGUGUUAUGUUUAAGGUGUUGUAUUUAAGAAUUGAAUGCUUCUUUUUGUAAAUUUAUUGGGGUGUAAAAGCGUUGACCGAAGUACAUUUUGUAUGAAGCGCGGAAGCGCUUCAUUCUAAAAAUGUGCGCACGGUCAACGCUUUUACAACCCUAUAAAGUUACAAAAAGAAGCAUUCAAUACUUAUAAUUACAUUUUUUAGCUAUGAUCAUGAAAACACGAAUUUUAUAUAUUUUUUAUUUAAUUCACUGUGCACUUUAUUGUACGUUUAUCAAUGGAAUGUAUUGAGCAAUGCAACUUUACGAAUAACACGUGAUGUGCAGUUAGCCAAUCAGAAUAAAGUAUUAUAAUGAAACAUACAUCUAAUGUAAUUAUUAAGCUUUAAAUUAUUUUUCAACUUGAUAAAAAAAUUGAAAACAACACGUUAAAUAAUGUCUUGCGUCCGAAGCGCUGUUCUGGAUUUACCUUUAUCAGGAACGCUCAAAGCCAAACAUUUGAAAUCCGAAGAUGUAUAAGAAUCGAAACUGUCAUAGAGCUUUAUGUCGAAAAUACCUAAAAUAAUUAGCCAAAUUCAUCUAAAGCCAACUUUGUCUGAGGGAGUUGAAACCUUAGUUUUAUAAAAUGCAAAGAAUUGAAUUGACACGAUGAGUAGAAUAAGCUUGUAUCUGCAUGACAGUAAGUCGUACUUCUCAUUACUUAAUGAGACUUAAGCUGUUUACAUUGCUUUGUUUGUUUUCUAUGUUCAAAAUAAUCGUGCCAUGUAAAUCCCCCUUAAGACAUUGCAAAAAUUUUGUAUAUUUCAUGACUCAAAGUCGUCUAAAUGUAGUCACUUUAAUGCAUAUACAUUUUUGGUUUAAUAUUUUACCGUUUGAUAAUUAUUAAAAUGUUUACAAAUAAUAAAAAAAUUAUCUGGUGAUGUUGAUUAAUUCCCAAAUUUCAUCUAAAUCUUAAUCUGUUUUUCAACAUAACCUUUGCUUCAUAAGUCACGUGAUAGUUGUCAAUUACAUUGUAUCGUAUGAUCCAUACAGCGCGCGCUCUCCGUCUUAAUGGAUAAUCAAUGAAAAGAUCCGAACUAAAUGACAUUGAAUGACUAGAAGAUUAACUUCUAGACGAAAUGUUUGGAUUGCCGCUGUCAUUUUGACAGAGUUGAUUAAACCUUAUACCAAAAAAUCCUACAGCGUGAUGAUGCACCUAUCGGUUUUUAAUUUAAAGCUUGAACAUUAUUGAAAAUCCAUUCGGAGUAGCUCGUGCCAAACAAAUACAGUUGGAAAGGGCAUUCGGAAUAGCUCGUGCCGAACAGUUAUAGAUUUGCAUUGAUUAAUGUUCUUUCAAGAUGUAUGCUUAUUUGACCGUACAUAUAUCAUUAAAAACUAAUUCACUUUUUUUCAGAUCAGUGGUUAAUAUAUCUUAGUUUUUUAAGUAAAAUUCAACAAGUUGAAGAUGGUCUCAUCAUGGUGAAUCAAAUCGUAAGCAUGAUGAGUUGCAUCUAUACUGGACGUUCAGCAAGCAUCAUUUAAUAAUUCUUGGACUUUUAAUAUUGUUUUCUUCAUUAAACCGAGUUCCGUUGACCAAUUAAUGUAGCUAACUAACUUAAGACAUCACGUGACUUUGGUGACGUUGCAAGACGCGAUUUAGUGUCAUUUUUUCUUAAAAAAAAGUCUAUAACACCCCAUUUUCUAAUCUGUUUUGUGAUAUAUUAGACUUUCAUUUUCUUUCUGUUGUUUUCUGCAUCAAAUUAGUUUCGUAUUUUUCAUCUAUUUUGCCUUACAGCUGGCCAUCGUCAUUUUGUAAAAUAAAUGUCCUUGAACUGGCCAGAUGGUUUCAAAUACAAAAUGAAUUUUCCCAGCAGGCUAUAUUAACAGAUGGGUGGCAAUUUUGGUUUAUUGGUUCAUUUGUGAAAUAUAUAAUACAUAAACAAAAUAAUGAUCCCAUAAUUUGUUUAUGAGCAUACUAAAAAAAAUAUCAUAAAUAAAAAAAAUCAUCGGUAAAAUAGUUUUGAAUUAUUUAUUUACAACAAGCAGUUUAAUUUAAUAGUGGCGAUCAGUUGAUUUUUUCCCCUUAUGUUGCAUUGGUAAAUACCCUUCUAUUUUACGAUAUUGAUGAAAGGGAAAUGCUAACUCAACCGUAGCAACUGAGGUCUUUUCUCCAUUUGUUGCUUUUUUGAGUCUUACUUGUUUAGUUUAAACUAUUUUAUUUAUGGAUUGGGAACAUUUUGCAACUUAUAUUAAGCCCUUUACUUUGCGGUGCGAGGCUCCUUGCGACGGCAAUAGACUGCUCUUAGAAUUUACAAGGGUGCUUUACGUGCAAGAUAUAUGGCUUUCUCUUAACACGGGUCAGCCAUUUAUCGUCCCCUUCCGACGGACUAUCAUCGUUGAUAUCAUCUUACUUGUUUGGUCAUUGCACUGCUAAUUAUGGGUUCUUGAUGUUGCGCAGGGUAGGGCGAGGCGAAGGAGUUGCUCAUAUUAUAUACCUUUCAAUGUCAAUUGUCUCUUUUCUCUUUGAACUCAUUUUCUUUUUCUUCCAUUUCUUACAAAUACUUAAGUUUCAUUUGUAGUCCAUACGAUUCCCUUCCCGCAGGUUGUUAUCUAGAUGUGUUUAUUAUUUAAUUAAAGAUUGAAUUAAUCGUAUAAAAAAAUCAGUAAACACUCAACCACUGUUGCCGCUUGUGUCCUUGAACAGAUUGUAUAUAAAAUCAAAUUUCAUUGAUAAAUCAGUGAACAUAUUGCAGUGUUUGUAAAUAGCAAUUUUUUAUAUGUUCAUUAACAAAUAAAUAAUAUUUGUAUAUCGAAAAUUUACAAAGAAAUCAAUAGCAAUCAUUUUAAUAGAAAUAGUUAUUAAUUUAAAUCACUUAUAGGGGAAAAAUGGAUUUCAACCUAGAAGGAUAAAUGGGGUAACGUCAAUGAUGCAGCAAUUCUACAACCACUGGCGAUCUAGAAAUUUUCAUAAGUGGGGGCCACUACUGCCUAAGGGCCCUCAUCACGCUUCGUGAUUCCCUAUAAGCACCAAAUUUUUUCUCAAAGAGGGCCCGGCCCCUGCCCCCCUAAAUCCGCCUCUGACAACAAAAUGAAAUAGAGGCUAGUAGUAUACAGAGCAAUAUCUUUGGUAUCGAUUAGUCAACAAAUCUAUCACAAUUGCCAUGCUUCUUUUUGUGAUAAACUUGCAAAUUGAUACUAAGAGAAAAAAAGAGCGACUUUUAAUCCUGGUACCUUUGAUAACUAUGUACUAGAUUUCUAGUAUCUUAAUCCAGAACAAAUAUCAGGGGUCGAUAUAUAUCACACUUUCUUCGAAUCGUGUUUUUAAACUUUCACCAGAAACGAUAAAAUUGAGAAUGGAAAUGAGGAAUGUGCCAAAGAGACAACAACCCGACCAUAGAUCAGACAACAGCAGAAGGUGACCAACAGGUCUUCCAUGCAACGAGAAAUUCUCGCACCCGGAGGUGUCCUUCAGCUGGCCCCUAAACAAAUAUAUAACGGACUACUAAUUCAGCUAGCAAUUCUGAAUAUUAAAAUAGCAGCACUAUUCCGGAUAGUCAGUUUUCACUGUUAAUCAGUAAAACAAUAGGAUAAGGAAACAAAAAUUACAAAAAUUGUAUAUAUUAUAUAUAAAAGAACUUAAAACAACCUAAUAUAGGCAUGUGCCGGAAAGUAAUCAUUAAAAACUUGAUGGUAAUCCGUAACUAAAGAGGAAGAAGAGGUGUCGAAAUGCAUUAUGGGACCGGGGGAAUCGUACGGUAUCCUGUACUGUUGCCGACAUCCACGUCAUUUGACCUCUGCUGGAUAGUUGUUUCAUUGACAAUUAUACCACAUGUUCUUAUUCUUAUAUUGGACCAUUGUCCCAGACGUUUCAUAUAUCGUCCUUGGACAGAUAGUAUUUCAAAACAAACGUUGUGUUUUAAUCUAGCACGCGAUGUCAAAACACAGAUUGCAACAAAGGUUUAUAUUUUUUUUCAAUAACUUGAUCAUUAACAUGUUUUUCUCAUUUGAUAUGUAUUUAAGUGAAUAACAGGCCUUGAAUCUGAAUCUUGAAAUAUGAAACGCUUAUAAGGUAAAAGUCAAUCAAAGUUUAAUAGGGCUUGUCCAUUGAUCUCCUUGUUUACCUUUUUGGAUGAGGAUUUCCCGUUAUUCUUCCGAAGGUCGAUAAUUCGAAUUCUUCUGAAUACUCCGUCUUACGUCAUACACCUAAAAUAAACUGACAGUCAUAUGUAGCUAAGAGUGCUGAAAUCGAUGUUUAUUGACGAGUAUUGCCAGUUUUCCUGAAGAGGAUCUAUGGUGCACGUUGUGUUCUCCGUCCAUUUAUUUCAUCCUGUUGUUCACUAGCGUUAAUUUGGGUAUUGCAAAGCCAGAAUUACUUCAUUGGAAAAGCCAAAAACAGUCGGUUAAAGAUUAUGAACUUGCUAAUAUCAAGUUAAAUGUACAGAUGUUACCUAACGAAUUAAACUUAUCAGCAGAUUGUUACUUAUAUCAGCAGCACAACGGGUGCCACAUGUGGAACAGGAUCUGCAUGUCCUCCUUCCGGAUCACUGGAGAUCACUCCUGGUUUUUUGGGUGCAUGAGGCCCGUGUUAUUCAGUCUUUAGUUCUUUUAUGUUGUAUUUUGUAGACAGUGUGUAUUUUGGUUUAUUCAUUCUCUUGCCAUAACGUUGUCGGUUAGUUUUUGAUGUUCAAGUUUGAAAUUUUCUUUGGGAUCUUUUGCGCCUUUUUUUAAGCCUGUCUGUAUACAUUUCCGGUGCACUCCUACAAGUAAGACCGUUUUAUCACUCAAAUUCACCUUAAUAGCUAGGCAGGAAAGACAUACCAUUCCGGAGCACCUGCGCUUGUUUAAUGGGAAAUGCUUACCAUUCUGGAGCACCUGCGCUUGUUUAAUAAGAAAUGCUUGUACCAUUCCGAAGCGACAAAGCUUACGUCAUUUAUUGUGGGGUUUGUGUUGCUCAGUCUGGUGUUCUGUGUUUUGACAAGUGUUAUUUUUCUUUUUGCGUAUUUGACAUUAAGUGUUAAACUUUCCUCCACUUUAUAGGAAUUAUCGAGCAAGAUGAUGAAUUUUAAAGUGUACAGAAUGGAGAUUUACAUGAACACUUUAAUUUGCAUUUUUUUGGCGACAAAUUAUACUUUAAAUUGCGACACAAGAGUCGUACCUUCGUAUAAGUCCAAAGUACGAUUCUUUAUUUCUAAGGAAAUACUGCAGUAUUCGCGUGUUCUCCUCUCUUUAAAAUAUAAUGAAUGUGUUAAUUUUUUUAGACAUGAAAAAGAAAACUACUAAAUAUCGAUCUCGAAAAUUCACAAAAAAGAGAAAUAUAGGGAAACAUCAACAACAUCCAAGUAAUGAGUCUGCGUUAUAUGGAAAAAAAAUAUCUUAUACAGUGAAACCUGUUUAAACCUAACCUUUUCGGGCCUUAAGAUUUUGUUCGGUAUUGGCCGAUGUUCAGUUUUGUUAUGUUCACAACGCAUACAAUUUGAUAUGACGGUGUUCAAGAACAUGUUUGGUUUAUUUAGGUUUUCGGUUUUGCAGGAUUCGGUUUAGCCAGGUUUCACUGUAAAAAAAACUAGAUAAAGAAUAAAAUGUGCUGAAAUCUUGAUUGAUAAAUUGACAUUGGACGACCUUACAAUGCGUCAACCAAUUUACCCCGAAGAUCUUUACAUAAAGAAUAUUAUUAAUCAACAUUUUCUUUGCCCUUGGAACUCAUACAUUUUCAUUAUUGUAUUUCAUAUGAGGGCUUUCCAUUUGUCUUUUCUAUAAAUUAAUUUAUUUUCCUUGUUCAACAAUAAUGUCGUCUGCUCUAUUAGAUUCAGAGAAGUUGGAACCUUCGACGGCCAUUAACUAUAUAACCUAGGCUAUCAGUUGUGCGUUUUAUUAGCAUAAGGAAUUCGCAAAAUAUCUUAAGCUUCUAUUUGAUUGUAUUUGUAGGAAUUCGCUAGGGUUCAAGUAGCGGACAUUACCGCGAUUAACAGCAGUAGGCUACACAUUGUUUAUGGAUUACUGAUUUAGUGUCCAUUCAAUUUCUCGCUGUAGCAUGCACUUGCAUUAUUUAUGAACUAUCAAUUAACGGGAUUGUGAUCAUAAAAGCGUGCAUAAAAAAUAUGAUGCUUUUCUUCUAUUAAUUGGUAUCGUUCUUAUCAAUAAAUAACAGACCAUAUCUUAUACUUUGUGUAGAUAAAUAUAUUAUUCAGUCCAACAAAGAAGAAUUAUUAUCGGAAAAGCAUUAUGUCUGGUUCACCAAUUUUAAUUAUUCCUCCGAUUUUAAUAGUCACAUUUAAGUAAAUUGAUUACAAAUGCCAUGGAAUAGUCCCUUCGUUUUCGACUUACGAGUUUGAUUAUUCCGGCUAUGGUAUUUUUCGCCUCAGUACUCUUCUUUAUAAAGAUAGGUUAAAAAAAGAGGCCAUACAAUAAAGAGAAUCAAUUUACUCAUGUGUCGAAAAUGGACUGAUAAAAUCUAUGUAAAUAAACGAAAACUCGACAAAAAGACAACAACGAAAAUCAUAAAAAAAAACUACAUAAAAACAAUAGACUGUGCUAUACAAACUCUGCUCAAACCUGCAUUUAUAUCAGGUGUUACAGAAUCAAGAUGGGCAGAACUUUCUCCAAAAACAUUUUUUUUUAUUUCAACUUCAAAAUUUAGAUAGGAAUACACGCAAUUCUAUGUAUGAGUUUGAUUGCUUGCGUCGAUGUUCUAUGAAGAACGACAAGACAAUUUCUCAAUUUGAAAAUUAUCAUAGGUCAUCGUACGGCCAUCAUUAAUGAUAAAAUACCAUACCGAAUAGCCCGAAAUAGAAACUGGGUCUUUAAACCAGGUUAUCGGAUCCUUUACACGAGGUGAGCUAAAAAGGUAAUCAAUCAAAUGAAUGAUUUUUUUUUAAAUUUAUACAUUUUUAGAUGACAUGCGAUCUUUUAAAAUACUCCUUAAUGAAAAUUUUAUUGUAAACUGUAUCCCUUAAUUAUUUCAGCUGAAUGAAUUUACGUUUAUAUGAACAGGUAAAGGAAACAACAUUAUGUAACCGGGGUAAUUCUACACCGACGGUAUAGUAUCAUUUCCGGAUCACGUUACGUAACCAGGGUAACUCAACACCCUCAGUCUCGUUAUUAUUUCCGAAUAACAUCCGAAAAGUAUAUGUUUUGCUUCGUCAUGAUAGCAGAGCAGUUUUAUUAUUUUAUUUUUAAGUUUAAGAUUACUUAAAUGAACAUAAAAUUGCUUGCUGAUGCAUUACAAUUUAAAGUUACCUCUUAUAUGGUUGUAAAUACGUGUAAAAAAUCAAAAUAAGACUUUAAACAUCAAUUAAACGGUAUGGUUGUCGCUCAAUGUUAAAAAGCUAACAUUUAAUUUUUAUUGGGAAGGGUGAGGUGGGCUGGGAAAAAAAUAUUGUCUUGCCUCUUUUUGUCUAAAAUUUAAUACCUGCCCUGCCUUUUGUAUUAUUCUAUCUAACAUACAUUGUCAUCUUGCCUUUCUUGUCAAGUUGCCAAUCCUGCCUAAAAAGCAAAUGGAAGCUCCCUAAUUGCUAUACGGUUAUAAAUAUAUUUGUAGUUGUUAAUAUUUACCUCAUUCUGUCGUAAGUUGUCUCAUUGUUUGCAAUCAUACCACAUCUACUUAUUAUAUACUGACGAACUUCACAAUUUGGUCCAGGUACGUAAAUAUGGGAUGGGACUAAACUAUAUAUAUGGUAUGGAGUUUUCCAUUGUUGAAGGCGGUCGCUUCUAAUUUCUAACUUUACCUUUACUUUACUAUGGGAGAUCUAGUUUUCUCGUUCGCAAUCAUACCACAUCUCAUCAUUUUAUACUAUAAUAAUGCAUUGACAUACUAUCAUAGACAUGAAAUUAUUUAUAAAGAAGGAAGUCAAGACUGAGUGUGAACUGAUAACAUCUUUGUAGUUCAGCUUAAUUUGCUAAAUAUUGGUCAUCCAGGUUCUCGCGUGACUUUCUUUGCCUAUUAUAGUUGACAUAAGGUCGCGCGUGAAGAAGUGUGAACUGAUAGCAUCUUUUUAGUUCAGCUUAAUUUACUAAAUAUAGGUCAUCCAGGUUCUCGCGUGACUUUCUUUGCUUAUUAUAGUUCACAUAAGGUAGCAUCUUUUUAGUUGGGCUUUAUUUGCUAAAUAUAGGUCAUCCAUGUUAUUGCGUGAAGGUAAUUUGUAACGAUAGUAUCUAUGUAGUCGGCUUUAUUUUUUCAAUAUAGUUCCUAUAAGGUCGCGCGUGAAGGAAAUGUGAACUGAUAGCAUCUUUUUAUAGUGUGGCUUUAUUUGCUUAAUAUAGGUCAUCCAGGUUCCCACGUGAAGGAAAUUAGUAACGAUAGUAUCUUUGUAGUUAGGCUGUAUUUGCUAAAAUAUAGUUCAUACAGUGUUGGGUGUGCAGGAAAUAUGAUACUUUUUAUAAAAAUAAAUGAUAAAACGGGUUCUUUAAAGGAUUUCCGGUACAAAUUAAAAUCAUGCGUAGUUUAAGUCAUAUUUCGAUUUGAAACAUAAUCUUUAAUGAUUAUUUUAGUAAAUCAAAUAAUUAAAAUUAAAUAAUUCAUUUUGAAACUUAAUCUUCAUCAUUAUCGCUAUUUUAUAUUGUUAUCAAUAAUGAAUGGACAUUUAUGAAAAUGAGUGAAAUGGCGGCUGUGACCGUGAUCAUUUUUCAAUGCGCAUGAGAAUCCUAAUGUAGUACAUGAAAAUCGGAGUAUCAAAAACUCUUUUUUUUUUUUUUUUUUUUAUAUCUAGAAUGAUUUUGCAAAUGCAUGAAUUAAAUUUCAAUUCACAUUUCCUUAGAGCAUUUCAUAUAUACAAUUCAUAUUUCUUCAUUUUCCUUGCAAAAUGCUAGAAUAAUAAAAUUUAAGGUACGAUUAUCAAAUUUAAGUUUCAACUAAACAAUACGGAAGCUACUAACAAGAAAAUUGGCAUUGAACUCGUUUUAAAAAAAUACAACAUUUCAUAUUUUUAAAAUUCGACUUUAAUUCGAAAUUUCAACUUUUCAAAUCUCGAAAUUUUAAAUUUAACUAGAACAUUAUAAUACAGUGCAAACCAGGUUGCGUUCAUCAUUUAUUAAAGCCGGGUCAUUAAAAUAGAAACUAUUUACCACAACAAUCAUAGUGUUUGUUUCCGAUUUAUAGUGCGGUGAAUGAAGGCAGAUUUUUUGGAAUUUAAUCUCCCCACCGAACACACACCUACAUAAUAUAUCAUUGGAAAGAGGAAAUCGUGUACUAUAAUAAUAUGCCUGUCGUCAGGACUUGAUAUGGUCACAUUUUUUUUUAAAUUGAGGUCAAAGGUCAUAUGUAAAAAUUUGUGAAAAUUUGGGUGGGUUUCAAUUUUGACAUUUUUUUCUAUUUCUAAACUCUACCUCAAUACAAAUGAUACUGUUUUGGCUUUAGUAAUGUUUGUUAUUAUACAUAAACCUUAAUCAUUGAGAUUUUUUUAUCAAAAAAAAUUCCUAAAACGACGUUAUAUAAACAAAACUUCAAAAAUCAAGUUUUCAACCUAUAAAAUGUUAAGAGCACCUUAACCUUAUGAAAAAUAUCAAUUUCAGGUAAAAAUCAAGUGUCAUGCAGGACAAUACUUUAAAAUUAUUUUUUAAACUAUCAUAGUGGGUGAGGUCAUCAAACCAAAGCCAUAGAACACUACAGUCAAAUAUGACCUCAAAUUGAAUUUGCGGAUACUUCAGUUUUUUUUAUAGACUACUCGUUGCUUUUGUUUUUUUUUCACAAUUAUUACUGCUACCAUAGUAUUAUCUUUUGUUGUGUAUUUAACUCUGGUUAAUAUCUAUUACAUUAUAGGUUUUGUAACUAUAUCCCCCCUUUUUUUUCCCUUGCAACGUACCACAAACUUCAAAAGUAUUCCAUAUAUAAAAAAGAAGAUGUGAUAUGAUUGCAAAUGAGACAACUCUCCAAAUGAGACAUAAAACAAUUAUAGGUCCCGUACGGGUUUCAACAAUGAGUAAAAUUCAUACUGCAAAGUCUUCAAUACCCGAAACGAAUAAUGUAAAACAAACAAAAAAUCUAACGGCCUGAUUAAUGUACAAAAUAAAUAAUAAAGAAACAAAUAUAGUAUAUAGAAACAAACGACAAACACUGCAUUAUCGUCUCGUAACACUCCCCUAACCUUGUGCAACAAGCUUUAUACCAAAUCAACCCUUAUCUCCAUCAUGUUCAUUUUCAUCAACCGUCACAAUAUCAAUAACGGUACCAUUCUUUCUGCACCAGAUGCGCAUUUCGACUAUACAUGUCUCUUCAGUGAUGCUCGUGGCCAAAAUAUGUGAAAUCCAAAGCUUAUAUUAAAGAUGAAGAGCUAUAGUCCAAAAGUUCCAAAAAGUAUAGCCAAAUCCGUGAAAGGAACCAGAGCUUUGCAUGAGGGAGAUACAUGCCUUAAUAUAUAAUAAUUUCUACCAUUUUGUAAGAGCAAAUUUUAAUGAAACAAAAAAUCCGUAUUUUCAUGCCAGUACCGGAGGACUGGCUACUGGGCUGGUGAUACCCUCGGGGACUAAAAGUCCACCAGAAGAGGCAUCGACCCAGUGGUAGUAAUAACAAUAACGGUACCAUUUUUUCUGCACCAGAUGCGCAUUACGACAAUACAUGUCUCUUCAGUGAUGCUCAGGGCCAAAAUAUGUGAAAUCCAAAGCUUAUAUUAAAGAUGAAGAGCUUUAAUCCAAAAGUUCCAAAAAGUAUAGCCAAAUCCUUAAUAUUUCUACACAUUUCACUCAUGGCCACAGGUCUACACAUGAAAGGUUCUGCUCAAAGCAAACACGUUAUUUUGAGUUUUUCUUUACAAGUACAGACAAGGUAUUGUAGGAAGUCCGAAGAUAUUUGUUCCUAAAAAAUACCAGCUUCAAACCAUCCCUAUCAGUUCAUCCAAGAUUUAACAGAGAUCUAUAAGGGGGUUUAGGAAGGUGUGAUGACAUCCAUAUGCUUGUCUGCAAAGAUGCUGGGGAAACAUCAUACGAGAAGUACACACUAUCUUGAAUUCGCUCAAUUUCAUGGUUGGCAACACAUUAGAUAGCGUCGCACUUUACUUUAACAUGUUUAAGAGGCAUAAAAUCCUUUGGCAUUCAAUGUUUCAACAAGGUGUUUUGAACCAAACUCAUGGCACAUUUGUAAUGCCAAUAAAAUGAAAAGGAGUAAAACCAAAAUGAUUGCCUCAACAAUUGCUUAGCAUUUCCACAAUUUCUCUGAUGCCAUUUCUUGAGAAUAGUCUUGGCCUUGCAGUUUCAUGGAGUAACUAUAGAUACUUUUGCUGAAAUUCUCCAGUCAUUCAAUAGUUUACAAAAUUCUUCCAACAACACUUUACAUACUUUAAACUACGCUCUGAAUGCCCGCGAUCUCGCGGGUGUGUUCUAGUGAAGUUUAAAAGAUGGACGGGAAACUAUUUCAACUUUAGCUUUAUUUGACACGAAUAAAACAUUUUUAAUACGCUCAUCUGAUUCUAACUUGAGUAAUUUUUUAUCUUUCUAAAAUGUUUUGUUGCAACAAAAUAUACAAGCGCUCCAGAUGAACGACUGCAUUCUAGAACGUGUACACUGAAUACCCGAAACUGACGGACAACAGUCAGAUAACUGUAUAUCGUCAAACUUCCUGCACGGAGUUCUUCAAAUUAACAGCUAUCGCAUGAAACAUCUUGAUGUCCCCCUCAUCCAAUCUUUUAUGCAAUGCAGAUACAAAAGUCGACUUCCCUAAACUGGUAAAUUGACUCAAAAUUUCAAUCGAGGUUUUUUUAGCAUAUUUUUUAUUCACUGCAUAAAAUUUAACGACUUUUGUCUGUUCUUUGAACUUAAUCGAGCAAGUUGCAAAGGACUUAACAUAUCACGGAAUAUUUACUGAAACUAUCCGUCAAUUAUUUUGAUUUUACAAUAAGACUUUUCUGACAAAGUAUAUUUGAUGUUUUAUAACGAAAAAAACAUAGAAUAUAAUCAUAUACAAACAAAGUAUGUGGCAUAUAUCAGUGCACUUUAAUUGAAAAUAUGUGUAUAUAUUCGAAAAAGGUAGUAAUUUCAUAUAUCAUUUGAGAGCAAAUUAUUGACUAAUACACAAAAUGGGACGGAAGGCAAGUGAUUGAGUUCCGUGUUGAAAUUGAAGAUUUUUACUCCAUUCUUUUCCCAUUGAUUUCUUAAGGUUUUUUUCAUAUUUUGGUUCCGAAAUUUUUAUCACUUAUUAGUUUUAUUAAAUACUAUAUGCUAAACAUAUUAUGGGAUAAUUGUUAUUACUACUAUGAAGAAGAAACUAAAGUUUUAGUCUGAAUUUGCAAUUAAAAUUACCUCACUUUUAAAUAGUCUAAACUUCACAAAUUUUAUAGAUUAGAAGAAAAUAUAAUACUGAAUAGCAUAUUUUGACAUGUCAAAAUAGCUUCAGGAAAAACUAUUUCAAUUAAAUGUAAGCAAACAUACCCAUUUUUUCAUUUUGAAAAAGGGGGGUUGAAACUCUCAAAUAUACUACCAGUCAUUAAAACGACUUUUUAGAAAAAAGUGACCGUACGAAAUUCUGACGACAGGGCAAAAACUAAAGAAGACAUAUUUGUCUUUGAGUUAAGACCAUUUUUAGCCGUGUGUUAUUUGGGGAGAUUAAACUCGCGAUCUAGACGACUUUUUACACUUCUGUCACCGCACUAUUAAUCGGUGCGAUCAAAUUAACAAAAACUGUCAUUAUUGUUCUAUGAAAUACGAAACUAACGGGACUAAAUUCACUAGGGAAAGAUAGAGAUGUCACCUCACGAGGCUAACUACACUACUACACUAGGAACUAUCGAACUCCAUUACCUUUUUCAUUGUUCCGAACUACGCGUUACCGUAGUUUCCGAGGUGUCUCGAAGGGGUAACGCUAUAUCAUGAGAAAUUUAUUGCUUUUGUCGGCAUUUUUUUUAAUUAUCUUUGAGACAUAUCAUUUUCCUGUCUGGCAACUAACCCAAUGUAUUAUUAAUAUCUUAAUAAUUCAAAAAGUAUAUUAGCUUUCAUGUUAAACAGUGCAUGUUUUGAAUAAAUCAUGAAGUAUUUUAUUGUCACAAGGAAUUGAUGCCUGACUGUAAAAUAGUAAAUGUGUGAAUUUUUCUAAAGUUAUCGAAUGUUAUUGUUUUUAAGGCGGCUUUUCUCGUUUGAAUUUUGAAGUUUUACAUGUGUCUUUGGGGGGAGGGGGCUUUACAGCUGACUAUGCGGUAUGGGAUUGUUCAUUGUUGUAGGCCGUACGGUGACCUAUGGUUGUUAAUUUCUGUGUCAUUUGGUCUCUUGUGAAGAGUUGUCGCAUUGGCAAUCAUACCACCUCUUCUUUUUUUUUUAUAUUUCUUAUACCCUUAUGCAUGUUAUAGUUUUUUUUCUGGAAAUCUAUAUUACUAAAUGAAGUUCUCCGUUCCUGUUUUUUUUUUCAGUUUAGUACAAUUUUUCAAUUAAACAAAAAUUAUUAUUUUUUAUUUUUUUUAUUUUGGCACUUAAUACUUACUAUUUUGUGUGCUGAUUAUAUAAAGCCAAUUCAGACUCUUGUAAAUAUUGAUGGUUGCUUGGUUGCUUGGUUUCUUUGCCGGUUGAUGGAUUAAAUACCACUUUAAUCACGUGGAUGUUUAUAUCGUGGUAGCCAUUUUUUCUUGCCAGUAGUCAAUAAAGCAAAAUGUCGAAUUGCACCUGCCACGUUGACAGUCAAGUGAUACAGUAGAAGAACUACUCAGUCACGCUCUACAUAGAUAUAGGAAGAUGUGGUAUGAGUACCAAUGAGACAACUCUCCAUCCAAAUAAUAAAUAUUUACCAUUAUAGGUCAAGGUAUGGCCUUCAACAUGACCAUAUAAUUGAUAUUCUUCGGUGUUGACAUGAAUAUCAAUUAUAUUGUCAUUUUUUUAAAUUUCCAAUUGACAAAACUUUGAAUUUUCAAAAAACUAAGGAUUUUCUUAUCCCAUGCAGGAAUAAAUUUCCUUAGCCGUAUUUGGCACAACUUUUUGGAAUUUUUGGUCCUCAAUGCCCUUCAACUUUGUAUUUGUUUGCCUUCAUAACUAUUUUGAUCUGAGCGUCACUGGUGAGUUUUAUCUAGACGAAACGCGCGUCUGGCGUGUUAAAUUAUAAUCCUGGUACCUUUGAUAACUAUGGUAGGCCUCUAAAUGUUGAGGAAACUGAAUCGAAACGUUUAUGUUUAGUCCAUUUACAUGUUAAUGAGAGUGAUACAUGUAUAAUUAUUCGCCUGCUCAUUAAAGUUCAUGAAACAUUAUUAACGUUUUUCUUUUUCUUUUUAUUAUUAUUUGACAAUAUGAAAUUACUGUACUAGAAAACGGACUAGACAAUUAUCAAAGACAUAAACACAAUUAUAGUUCUCAGUUUCACAUCUGAGGUGUGUACGUGAUUCAUGCACAUAAUAUCUCCGUAUUUGAGUAAACUUUUAUUGUUUUCAAAUAUAUUUGUUUCAUAUAUAUAUUAUAAAAUGCAAAUAUAAAAUAUAGGAUUUAUGUCUCUCUUGGAAUAGUAUACUUUUAAUAUAUUAUGUAUCUGACAGCGUCUCUAUACAAAUAUACUUAACAAAAGUAUAUAUUUGUCUACGUGCACAAAGUAUUGCAGAUUCAUUUGCUUACGUUUGCUGAAUUUUUUGUUUUUGUGGUUUUUUUUUUUUUUUGUUUGUUUGUUUACAUCAUAGACAUUUGGUCUUUAUGGUAAUCACACCAUAUCUCUCUAUAUGCUAUUAAGAAUUUUGCCAACAGGCUCAUAUCAUACAAAAAGUAAAAUUUAAAGUGUUCAUGUGCCUUUAAUGUAAAAUAUAUCUAAAUUGAUAUCUGCACAGAAAUGAAAGGAUAUGGUAUGAUUGUCAGCUAGACGACUAUCCAACAUGCAGACACCAAAGCACCCGGAUGUAAUCAACUGAAUGUUACCAACACUUUAAUGAACAUCGUACCAUGCCUCUCUGUAUGUUAUAAAUAAUAUUGCCAACAGGCCGUCAUAGGAAAAAAAUAAAUAAAUUAAAGUGAUCAUAUGCCUUUAAUGUAAAGUGUAUAUAAAUUUAUAUCUGCAUGGAAAUACAGAGAUGUGGUAUGAUUGUCAGUGAGACGGCUAUUUAGCAGACACCAAAGGACCCGGAUGUGAGCAACUUUAGGGUAGAGGUCACACUUCAAUGAACACUGUACUUGUAUAUAUACUUGUGGACAUCCAAUGUGUCAUUCCUAUCGGAUAUUAAGCUGCACUUUAAUAGCUUUUCAAAAUGUCAGUUUAUAAUUUUUUUGGAACGCAAAUGAAUUUGACAUUUCCUGUUUGUGUCUCCUCUUAAAUUCGCCGUUUCAGAAUCUAAUGCACACUGGGUAAUAUUCUCAAAAGCGUACACCAUAACGUUGUGUUGGUUUAAAACGUUCUAAACAAUGGAAAUUCAACCAAUGAGUGACGUUAUUUUCAUUUUGGGGUACGGACAAUGAAAUUACCCAUGAUUCUUUAGAUUCGGAAACGCCUAAUUGUCAAGAACCUAAGCGGUAUGAAGAUAAAUUCAUCUUUAUGAAGAUAAGGAGAUGUGAUAUGAUCCCCAAUAGGACAACCAUUCUCCUGAGACGAAAGGCCGAGGAUGUCACAAGUCACUAUGCGGCCUUCAACAAGGAGCAAAACUGAUAUCGUAUAGCAUUAUAGAUACAUCAGAAACUGGCGUGACAAACAAUUCAAAUCAAUUAUGCUAAAAUAAUAAACGAAUAAACGAAAAACGAAUUUAGAGAGCAAGCAACAACCAAUGAUUUACAGGCUUCUGAUUUGAGGAGAGGGAUAUACAGAAUGUGACGGUGCUAAACAUCUUUGUUUUCACCCAUACCUCCCCAUUAACUAGGACAGCGUUGUAAAACAAACUGUAAAAUAAGUUGUAAAAGGAGGUCAUUUGAUAAUUUGACAUAGUCAUACUAUAAUUUGAUAUAGCUCUAUUUUUGAGGAACAAUAGAAUAAAACAAUUGAAACCGUGAUCAGAUAUAUAAAGUAACCUAUUUAGAUCAUUUUGAUCCUUAUCAACUGAAACCAAAACAAGUAAAUUGCGUUUAUAUUUCAAGAGCACACUUUAAAUACUUGAAAGGUUAAAAGCCUACACCCGGACUAUUGUCAUAGUCACAUAUUGUGUAAGUAUUCUAUAAAUAGAUGUUCUAAAUUCAGGACGUUCACUUUUUUAUGAACUCCCAAUACAAAGAAACGUAUAAAAUUAUAUUUGCAUAGAUAACUGUUCAAAUAAAAUUUGUUGUGCAUUCCAUUUAUGUCCUUGAAAACGUGACGUAAUAUCGAAAUACAUUUUCGAGAGUACACCUUAUCACUACGGCGUUAUAAAAUAGUACUCGACAUGAAAAGCUAUAUACAUAAUAAAAUUGAGAAUGGAAAUGGGGAAUGUGUCAAAGAGACAACAACCCGACCAAAUAAAAAACAACAGCAGAGGGUCACCAACAGGUCUUCAAUGUAGCGAGAAAUUCCCGCACCCGGAGGCGUCCUUCAGCUGGCCCCUAAACAAAUAUAUACUAGUCCAGUGAUAAUGAACGCCAUACUAAUUUCCAAAUUGUACACAAGAAACUAAAAUUAAAAUAAUACAAGACUAACAAAGGCCAGAGGCUCCUGACUUGGGACAGGCGCAAAAAUGCGGCGGGGUUAAACAUGUUUGUGAGAUCUCAACCCUCCCCCUAUACCUCUAACCAAUGUAGUAAAGUAAACGCAUAACAAUAAAAAUAUUUCAACUGUUACUGGGUGUUGGUGAAUAUUUCCGUGAAUUAAAUUCUAUAGUUGCAGAUCAAGAGUCAACUAAACAUGAUUAAAGACAACAAUGAUUAAUCAAAUGCCAACAUUGUAUCUUUCUAUGUUGUGAUGUUACACUAUUGUUCCAGGUAAGGGUGAAGGUCAACUAAACAUGAUUAAAGACAACAAUGAUUAAUCAAAUGCCAACAUUGUAUCUUUCUAUGUUGUGAUGUUACACUAUUGUUCCAGGUAAGGGUGAAGGUUGGCACCUAUUAAAACGUUUAAACCCGCUGUAUUUGUUUGCACCUGUUCAAAGUAACCUGAUGUUCAGUAGUUGUCUUUUGUUGAUGUGGUUCGCAAAUGUUUCUCGUUUCUUGUUUUUUUUUUUUUUUUAUAGAUUAGACCGUUGGUUUUCCCGUUUGAAUUGUUUAAUACUAGUCUAGUCAUUUUAGGGGCCGUUAAUAACUUGCUGUCCGGAAUCCGUGUUAAAGACCAAACCUAUGAUGGUUGACUUUUACAAAUUGCAACUCGGAUGGAUAGUUGUCUCAUUGGUACUCAUACCACAUCUUCUUAUAUCAAGCAACAUAAUAUAAAAGAAUACAAUUGGUCUAAUGACAUUAGUAUAGAAAAAACAUGUAUUUGACCUCAUUAAAAAGGUCAUUCUUUAUUUUUCAAAAAAUGGAUGGAAAAAUGUGUUCUGCAGUUUUUUUUCUAAGUUGAAGUAUCGGUACAGACAUUUGAUUUUUUAUCUCUCUUCCGUCUUGCCUUUUUUUCAGUUAAUCCUGACAAUUUUAACGUUAAGUGUCAUCCUGACUUUUUGGGGCAACACCCCCCCCCCCUAAAAAAAAUCAAACGGUAACUCCCUAACAGUCAACUGAACAAACUAUACUUCACCUUAUUAAAAAAAAUCCUUUUUCAUGACAUUUUGUUACUGAUCCAAUGAAAUAAAUAUAAUCGAAAUAAAAAAUCUGUAUCUUAAUAAAACUGGCAUGUGUACUUAGAAAUUAAAAUCAAUAAAAAUACAUUAGUUUUUAAGUUCACGAGAACUAUCUGAACAAAAUUAUCCUUUUCAUCUGUUUUCGUAACAUAUUUAUGAUCAAUUACCAUGAUAAAGGAUUUUUAUUUUAUUUGAUUGAAUGUUAUCUAUGAAUUCAUGUGAGUUUCCCUUACGGUAGAUUUGACUGAAAUGGUGUUAUUUUCAUUUAAAUAAAUAUAAUAUUUCGUUAUACUUUUAUGAUUUCCUACGUUUUUGUAAUCGUGCAUAUCAUUGCUAACCUCUCUGAGGAUGUGGACGGGGUCCUUCAUUUUAUUCUUUAUUUUUAGGCUCUUCUCUUUUUCUCUUUUCUUCAUAACUUAUGCCUGUUGUUCUUUAUUCUCCAUAAGUUAUUCCUGUUAUUCUCAAUUCUUUAUAUUUUAACACCCCCUUAUCCGCUAUUUUAUUUUGGUCAUUGACAGUCCCGAUUUCUUUAUACCGAACUUUAUCCGAUAUAAAGGAAAAAAAUACCAUAACAAUGAGUCGUACAAAACUACUCGAACUUUAAACGGACGUGGCAGUGAACUUAUACAUGUAAAUCCCGCUCAUCUAAAUAGAUGCUCCACUUUGCCGUCGGAAAAGGACAAAGGAAUGGACCUAAUAAAAUAUUUAGUUAAAUGGUUCUAUGCUAUUGUGAUGUUAUUUACUAGUAAGUACAGUUACACUGAAGCUGCCUUCAACUUCUAAUUUAUUCAUACAUGUUCAUUUGACUUGAAGGAUUCAUAUUUAAAUUAGCUCUCGCUAAAACGAGUACUAUUUAUGAAUCAAACUUUUAUCAGGGGGGUCGGUUCCGGCGGUUGGAACCCGCCAUUUUUCGGACGAUCAAAGCAUUUGAAUGGGGACAUGUAAUUGAACCCCCUUUUUAUCCUAGGUUGAGAACAUACCCUCUCUUUUUUAAAUGGCGAUGACGACAAAGUUGACCAAGUUUGCAUCAAAGGAAGAGAAAGAGCUCAUGUUAAAUGUCAAACACACAUCGGAAAACCGUUUCCGGAACCUGAAACUACCUGGCGCACAUGUUGUUCUUGUAUAAUUUGUUGACAAAAGCCUAGAGUACUUAUAUAUUUUUUUGUAUUAAAGGAUGUUGACCUAUAAUAGAUUAUUGUCAUCUGAAACAUGAGGCCCCUCAUGGGGGGUCCUAGUAAUCACAUAAUCACCAUUUUUUUGCCAAUAUAAUCACAUAAUCAUUAAAUAUUUGCUUAUCUUUAGUAAUCAAAUAAUCAUAAACUAAAAAUACAGUCCUAGGUAAUCAAAUAAUCAUGAAAUAUUUGGCUUAAUAAUCAAAUAAUCAUUAAAAAAAAUGGCCAAGUAAUCACAUAAUCAAAAACCCCAUGAGGGCCCUCAAACAUCUUAACACUUAUUGUGUUUCUCGGGUCGUAUGACAUUCGAGCAAUAUAUAUAUCUUUUGUUUUCAACAAAGACUAAAAAAUGUAGAUCUAUAAAAGAAACUGAUACGUAUAUUUGUAUAUUGAUACUUUAUUAACACUGUAUACAUGAAGGUCUUGGUGAGAUUUACAGAUUAGAGAAUCCUAGUAGAAAAAAAUCAAAAUAGAGCAGAAUAAAAAGAAAAAUAUGGCACGGAAUCAGGGUCAUAAAUAUCGAUUUUAGUAUAUCCUAAAAUGAUUUCAGUAUAUACUAAAUUACAUUUUAGUAUACCCUAAAUUCAUUUAAUUCAUUUUAGGGUAUCCUAAAGUCAAUUCAGUAUAUACUAAAAUGAUUUUCGUAUAUACUAAAAUGAUUUUCGUAUAUACUAAAAUGAUUUUCGUAUAUACUAAAAUAAUUUUCGGAUACCCUAGUAAAAUCAAUUUAGCAUAUACUGAAAUAUUCAGCAUAUACAGAAAUAUUGGCGCGGAAUCAAGGUCAUAAAUAACGAUUUUAGUAUACACUUAAUUGAUUUUAGGAUAUCCAUAAUUCAAUUUGCUAAUAGUUUUGUUCACCAAUGAAAAGAUCGCUUUCUGGACGAGUUAGAAAGACAGUCAUUGCGACCUUGCUAAGAUGUGGCAAAUGUCCUCUCACUUGAUUUCAAACCUUUAAAUAGACUUAUUUGGAAAGAACAUAGUUACGAUACUGUUGACAGGUCAUUAAGGAUUGCAUACUUUGGUAUUAAUAUUGAUUCACUCCUAUUGUCUUUGCAUCGGAAAUAAACACAUUUAUUCUAUAAACAGUUGUUGGCAUGAUACGGGUUAUGUUCUUCUCAUAUAUUUUAUGAUGGUAUGAUACUAAACCCCUAACGGGAGGGAAUUUACUUGAUUUUCAUAUGAUGAAGACAUAAUCUUUCAAUCAGUUUAAUUGAGGUCUGCAGCUUGCAUGUCAGUCCUUUGUUAAUUUAUGUAUCACAUGUUGUCAUUUUGCUUGGUUUCUGUUGUUGCCUAUUCUGAUAUCUGACUCGGACUUCUUUUGAACUGAGUUUCACUGUGCGUAUUGCUAUGUGUUUCUUUAUUCUACCGUUGAUUUGCUAGAGGUAUAGGGGAGGGUUGAGAUCUCACAAAACAUGUUUAACCCCGCCGCAUUUUCAGUUGCGCCUGUCUCAAGUCAGGAGCAUCUGGCCUUUGUUAGUCUUGUAUGUUUUUUUUUUUAAUUUUAGUUCAUUUAUAUGUUUUGGAGUUUAGUGUGACAUCCAUUUUUACUGAACUAGAACACAAUGUUAUUAAGGGACUAGCUGAGGACUACCGCCGGGAGUGGGAUUUUCUCGCUGCGUUUAAGACCCAUUGGUUGCCUUCGGCUGUUGUCGACUCUUUGGUCGGGUUGUUGUCUCUUUGACAUAUUCCCCAUUUCCAUUCUCAAUCUUAUCUAAUAUCUCGUGGGGCGGAUGCAGGAUUUUCAAAGGCAUAUGGGUUUAUUAGUAAGUUUGAAAUCAAUCAGACUUCGUUUAGAUGGGACAUGUCUUCAGAAUGAAUAAAGAUGAACAAUAUGGGGAGGGGAGUGUUAAAGAUUGAAAAGUUAAACGUUUUUUGUUUGUUUUGUUACUAAAUGAAAUGCACAAUAAAUUUAUGUCCAUCUUUUCUUGGUUAAUCUUCCUCUUGGCUAAUUCAUUUAACGAUUUAAAAGUACAUCAAACGGAACUAAAACUGUAGACGAUGUGUGUUAUACGUCAAUAAGACAGCAAUCAAACGACAAAAAAACACUUUAUAGAUAUAGGAAGAUGUGGUAUGAGUGCCCAUGAGACAAUUCUCCAUCCAAGUCAUAAUUAUAAAAGUAAAUCAUUAUAGGUCAAGGUACGGUCUUCAACACGGAGCCUUGGCUCGCACCGAACAGAAAGCUAUAAAGGGCCCCAAAACAAGUUAAUAGUGUAAAACCAUUCAAACGGGAAAACCAACGGUCUAAUCUAUAUGACACCUGGCAAGCAAAAACGACCCUUAUGGCAAAACUUAUGAAUUAUUAGAUUUUUUUCUUUAUUAAACAGAAAAUACUAAUGCCAACUUAAAAAUUUGAAAACGAUCGGUAAAAAACUAAUUGAGAAAUUUCAAUUUUGGUUACACAUGAAAAUGUGUUCUAACGUAAAAUUCAACAUAACGUUGGAAUCAUACACUUUGACGUCGAUUUAAGUUUGCUGCAAUUUACUAGUUUACUCUUCUCCUGAUGCUUGACAAAAUGGAGCCUGAUAUUCUUUUCUAGCGCCGAAUUUUUGAAAAUAGAUGUUCCUACCUAACACGUACAAGUCCGGAUGCAGGAAUAACUACAGGACGAGCCAACAGAUCAAACUAUUAUAGAGGAAGAUGAAGAGUAUCUAUUUCUUUUUAAACUUGUACUUUUUUUGGGGCAUAAUUAAUUCCUGAUUUAUCAUGAGGAACGAUGAAAUAAUGGUACUUUCUGAUACCAUAUAAAAAAGAAGAUGUGGUAUGAUUGCCAAUGAGACAACUAUCAAAAAAGACCAAAAUGACACAGACAUUAACAACUAUAGGUCACCGUACGAUAAUAGGUUUAAACAAAACAUAAAAUUGGUUUCUAAUCUCUCCAUUGCUAAGUAGUUUCAUCGUUCUUUUGCUUACCAUGCUAAACGACUUAUCUUAUUGAUGAUAAGUUUCGAAAGAAUUCUGCUACAUGAAAUACAGUAUCACUGUUUGAUCAUCAGUAAUUUUUCUAUCUUGACAAAUUCUACCAAACGCUUAAUGUGACCAAAAAACUAGGCAUAUUUUCCGAAUAUCGUCCAGUUAACACACACAAAGCAAGAUAGUCAGUCAUAUGUCGAUUUUUUUCUCCUACAAUAACAGAACAAUAAAUACUUUUAUUUGUUGGAUUUCAAAUAUAAGAAUUUCUUUUUAUUUUGGUAUCGAUUUCAUUUAAUUUUCAGUGUUAUCUUAAAUAUUAUGAUAAUUAAUAAAAAAAAAAAAAAAGCACUGAAGUGUGAACUCCUCAUUCUUCCAGGGCACCAUAUAUUUUCCAUGGGGUUCGUGGUGCUCAAUUUAAAUAUACCCUCAAAUGAAAAUGUAUUAUUCGGUAUAUUAAUUUGUUUAUAUUUUCUUGGUAUUUUUAUUACUGUUGAUGUGUUUAAUCAAAUAUUUUAAACAGGACUCUCCAAUACUAUAGAUAACAGAAAUACAUCUCGACAAACUUAUUUGUCGUCAAAAGUAUAUGUAAAAUCUUGUUCGCUUUCGCUCUCGGGAUUUAUCUACGCCUUUUUAAUCUAAUUUACCCAAUAAAUACAUAUCUUUGCAUUCUUUGGAUAGUUCACGCUUAGAGAGUAUGUGCCUUAUUAUUUCAUCCUGUUCGAAUUGGUUGAUACGUAAAAAAACCACGACAAUCUCUAGUUAUUUUGGCCACCUUCAAACGUUAAAGUUAUUUAUAUAUCAUUAUCUUCAAUGUAAAGUAUGACAUUUUAAUAUAAUGACCAGACCAAAACGCACGGGGGGGGGGGUAACUUCCUAUUAUUAGGUAUACGGGGAUGUGCCAAAAAUAUGGGUCAUAAUUUUGCGAGAUUUAAUAUAAAAAUGACCCUCCUUUUUAAUGACAUCCUAUAUUAAAAUGCAUUUACGUUUGAUAACUGUAUAUUGAUUUGGGGUAUGAUCUACAUAUCAUUUAUAAAUACAUGUAUGCUAUUGAGAAUCUUACAUUAUUAAUAUUUAUGAAUUAUGAGUGAUGAUGAGUUUACUUAAGCAUGGCGCAUGGGUCAUAUUUUAAAUAUUGUAUAUAAGUAUAGGUCAUUCUUUCCUAAAUAUUUAUAUAACUAUAGGUACUGAAUUUCAGUGAAUGUUAUAUUAAAAUGGGUACGUUUUUUGAGGCAAAAAUGGCACACCCCUACCAAAAAAAUAUCGAAGUUACCCCCCCCCCCCCCGUGACGGGGGGGCCAAAACGUCCCUCUGGUAUCUUUCGCCUCUCUUUUACAAGCAUUCGAGACGAUCAAAUCACAUCAAAUAAGUUUUAUGUUAAAUUUGCAGGAUAGUAACACUACAACAUAAGCUCUGGGUGAGCUUUUGAACCAACAGAACGAUUUAGUUUAGACACCAGUCUAUUGUUAACUUGAACACUAUAUGUUGCACUCUACAUAUGCUAAUGUGGUUCAUAAGUGUUUCUCGUUUCUCGUUUUUUAUAUAGAUUAAACCGUUGGUUUUCCCGUUUGAAUGGUUUUACACUAGUAACUUUUUGAGGGCCCUUUAUAGCUUGCUGUUCGGUGUGAGCCAAAGCUCCGUGUUGAAGACCGUACCUUAACUUAUAAUGAUUUACUUUUAUAAUUAUGACUUGGAUGGAGAGUUGUCUCAUGGGCACUCAUACCACAUCUUCCUACAUCUAUUAGGUAGUUUUUGUCGUUUGAUUGCUGUCUUAUUGACGUAUAACACACAUCGUCUACAGUUUUAGUUCUGUUUGAUGUACUUUUAAAUCGUUAAAUGAAUUAGCCAAGAGGAAGAUUAACCAAGAAGAGAUGUAGAUAAAUUUAUUGUGCAUUUAGUAAACAAAACAAACAAAAAACGUUUAACUUUUCAAUCUUUAACUCUCCCCUCCCCAUAUUGUUCAUCUUUAUUCAUUCUGAAGACAUGUCUCAUCUAAACGAAGUCUGAUUGAUUUCUAACUUACUAAUAAACCUAUAUGCCUUUGAAACUCCUGCAUCCGCCCCACGAGAUAAAAGAUAAGAUUGAGAAUGGAAAUGGGAAUAUGUCAAAGAGACAACAACCCGACCAAAGAGCAGACAACAGCCGAAGGCAACCAAUGGGUCUCCAACGCAGCGAGAAAAAUCCCGCUCCCGGAGGUAGUCCUCAGCUAGCCCCUAAAUAAAAUUGUGUUCUAUAGUUCAGUAAAAAUGGAUGUCACACUAAACUCCAAAACAUAUAAAUGAACUAAAAUUUAAAAAAAAAACAUACAAGACUAACAGAGGCCAGAUGCUACUGUCUUGAGACAGGCGCAACUGAAAAUGCGGCGGGGUUAAACAUGUUUUGUGAGAUCUCAACCCUCCCCUAUACCUCUAGCAAAUGUAGAAUAAAGAAACACAUAGCAAUACGCACAGUAAAACUCAGUUUAAAAGAAGUCAGAUAUCAGAAUAAGCAACAACAAAAACCAAGCAAAAUGACAACAUUUGAUACAUAAAUUAACAUAGGACUGACAUGCCAGCUGCAGACCUCAAUUAAACUGAUUGAAAGAUUAUGUCGUCAUCAUAUGAAAAUCAAGUAAAAUCCCUCCCGUUAGGGGUUUAGUUACAUACCAACAUAAAAUAAAUGAGAAGAACGUAACCCGUAUCAUGCUAACAACUGUUUAUAGAAUAAAUGUAUUUAUUUCCGAUGCAAAGACAAUAUGAGUGAAUCAAUAUUAAUACCAAAGUAUGUAAUCCUUAAUGACCUGUCAACAGUAUCGUAACUAUAUCCUUCCGAAUAAGUCUAUUUAAAGGUUUGAAAUCAAGUGAGAGGACAUUUGCCACAUCUCAGCAAGGUCCGCAGUGACUGUCUUUCCAACUCGUCCAGAAAGCGAUCUUUUCAUUGGUGAACAAAACUAUUAGCAAAUUGAAUUAAGGAUAUACUAAAAUCAAUUAAGUGUAUACUAAAAUCGUUAUUUAUGACCUUGAUUGUACGCCAAUAUUUCUGUAUAAAUUAUGCUAAAUUGAUUUUAAGGUAUCAUAAAAAGAUUUUUGUAUAUACUAAACUCAUUUUAGGAUACCCUAGAAUCAAUUUAGGGUAUGCUAAAUUAGAGAAAAAUAGGUCCAACAAUUAAAUAUACAGAACAUUGGCUAUGCGGUGCAAAGCAUACAUAAUAUAUAUAAUAUUGGGCAAAAUAAACAAAGAAUAUAGAGAGAAAAAUAAGGAAUAAAAAGAUGACGGAUCCCUAUCCAGGCCUGUGCUAUUUUUCUGUUCAGUAAUAUAUAUAUGUAAUGGUUUGAUUGCAUAUGUGUACUUAUUUCUUAGUCCUUCAUGUGCGUCUGAGAUGGCAAAUAGACUACAAAAAAAAAAUACCUUACAUGUAAAAUUCUUCAAUGUUGCGUUCCACCUGUUAGUGUACUUAUUUGUUAGUCUUUCUUGUGUAUUUGAGAGAUAUUAUUGACACAAUUCUCCACAAAUACCAUGGAGAUUUGGGUAAACUGGUCCUCCAUUCCAUCUCCGCACCAUCGGUAGCGAUAAGUUAACACAACAGGGUUUAGUUUAUCUGGAACGAGGACCCAUUUAUAUCCCCCUUAGCUUCAAUGCAACUUUAUCAUAAUUGAGGGCAGAAUUUUGUAUUCUCUAUAUUUCAACUAUUAUAAAAGGUUAUCAUUUUUAUCAUAUUUUAUUGGAAAUUCUUUUCGCAUUUAUCCUUAUUUCUUUACAACUUAUAUAUGAUUGUAUAAAUAGAUGAAAUCAAAUACCCAGCUAUUUUGCAAAUCUAGUUCAAAGCCAAACUGUUCAACCUCGUUAUGAUUUCAACCUUACUUUGUACUUAAUUGAUAUUUUUUGGUACCCAUUUGACUAGAUAAUAUUUGUACAUCAAAUGUUACCGUUUAAAUAAACCCAUAAUAUAUUCACAUCAUAUUUUUAUUGUUUGCUUUGAUGUUAUAUGACAAAUAUAAUUAUGCCAAGUGCAAGAUCAAAAGCUGAAGGUCUCAAAUUAUGUUGGCUGAUUUCAGAUGAAAAAUAAAAAAGGUAAAAUUAAAUGUGAUGAGUGAAUGUAUAAACAAGGGUCUAUAUGGAGUUUACAAAUUACAGAAAAUGGGGUACACAAAUAAUGAUUGAUUGGUUUUUGGUCCAGUCUCAAAUGUUUCAUUAAUGUUCAGGAUAAGAACAAAAUAACAGGUAGGUCCGGUUAACUGGGUUGCAAGUCGGGAAAAUCUAAACUGCCACGGGAAAUGAGGGUAAAUUGAAUAGGGACAGAAGUUUAGCCUGGUAACAUGCCACCUCUGAGGGCCACUGAAAGAGUUGUAAGGGAUCUUCACGUGCAGAGAGCGUGACACUCGCUCUACACGAAGCAUCAGAUCUAAUAUCCUCAUUCUGACCGGACAUGGCUGCGUACUUGAUAAAUCAUGCACUUCCAAACGGACCGUCACUUUGGCAAGGGUUUUCCUAACGGUCGGAAGAAGAUCUGUAAUGACCAUAUUUCUAUUCCCAAGUCUUCCUGGAUUGAUAAAUAUGAAAAAUGAAAUAUAAAGAUUUCAAGGUUGAUAAACGUGUAAUAUAAAAAUUGAACAUAAUCGUUAUAAUGAAUAAACAAAAUUUAAGAACAGGGAACGAAAACUGGCUAGAAAAUGAGAAAAAAAAACAGAACACCUUCCCAAACAGACCCUCUUGUUAUUUCAAUUGGUGCAUCAAUUGAUGUGCUCAAGACAGAUACACAAGUUAAUUGUGACAAUAAUAUCAGUGUGUCAUUAGGUCAGGUCAGGUCAGGCUAGUUGCGUAAUUUAUUUAUAGGUUUUAGGACUGGAAAUAGUUCACUGCCCUGCUUCGUUAUUCUUUAGUAUAUUUUAUUACAAAUUUGCAUAUUUGUUUGUUGAAUCUGUCCUCUUUUCUUUUACUAGUUAGAUCUUAAUCAAUUUAAAAAGUCUACAUUUACGAGUUGUAUAUACAUAAUGUACACAGCCAUGUAUCACCAUCAUUGCUGGUGAUCCGAUGGAUAAAUCUGUUGUAGAGUUGUCACUGACUCCGACGUACUUAUUAAUAUAAUUAUUUUCUGUGACUGUAUCUUGCAUUAAUGUGUAGGAUCCUUUACUGUAGAUAAUUGAGCUGAUCUGUAACAAUAACAUCUCCAUGCCCUAUAUAUCAUGUACUGUAGUACGCCGCUAGAUUAAAACUGACGAGGAAGGUAACACACGGCCACCGAAAGCUUUAUUUAUGUGAAGCCCAGGUGGUCGUGUGGUCUAGCGGGACGGCUACAGUGCAGGCGAUUUGGUGUCACGAUUUCUCAGUAGCAUGGGUUAGAAUCCCGGCGAGGGAAGAACAAACAUUGUUGGGUUGAUGUUUAGACGAGUUGUAUAUAUAUAUAUAUAUAUAAUAUAUAUCACUAUAGAAAAAUUAUAUAAUUUGAUCAACAUUCAGAUCUUUCGGAACUCGUGUAGUAUCCGAAGGUCUGGAUAUCAAACGACGAUUGCGUGAUUUUGAUUGGUCGAUAAAUUCUUACAGUUUUCUCAAAUCAGGCGAUCCAGGAUUUGAAAUUGAUUUAGAGAUCCCAAUCCGUCCCUUCUAGUAGAUAUGGCCAUGCUUAUUAAAGUGUAGCCUAGGAUAAAGUUCUCAAGUUUUCUCAACUCGAAAAGCUUGAGAAACUUUUAGACCGGAUCUUAUUAUAGAAGGUGGUUACUGAACACCGACGGAAAUUACAUUUAUUGGGACAAAGUCAUACAAAAAUUAUUCUUUGUAUACAUGCAUAAACCACCACUGCAUUUGUUUGCACCUGUCUUUAGUCAUGAACCUGAUGUUCAGUGGUUGUCGUUGUUGAUGUGGUUCAGAAAUAUUUCUCGUUUCUACGAGUCUCCCUUUUGACGACCGUACUUUGACCUUUAAUGGUUUACUUUUAUAAAUUGUGACUUGGAUGGAGAGUUGACUCAUUGGCAAUCAUACCACAACUUAUGUUUAUAUAUGUAGGCACCAUUCUUCUCAUACUAAAGGACAUCUGGUGUAAAUGUACUAUAUUUACUGCUAACAUACAUUUCAUAUACAAGUUAUUGAUCCAAGUUAUUUUUGUACAUCAAACAACAAUUACUAAUAUAGUAUGAUAAAUUUUUACAUUGUAUUGUGUGACUUACUGCUUUAUCAAAAUAUGAAAAAUAUAUAUACAUUGAAACCUGGCUGAAACAAAUCCUGCAUAAACCAAAAACCUAAAUAAACCAAACAUGUUAUAAAAGCAUUGUUUUAUCAAAUUGUAUGCGUUGUGAACCUGACAAACCCGCACAUUUGCCAACACCGAAUAAAAUCUUAAAGUCCCGAAGAGGUUCGGUUUAUAAAGUUUUCACGGUAUGAUAAUGAACGAUCGUAAAACAGCUUACUCCAGCUGUAUGUAAAAUAUUUUAUUUAAAUUUGAUUGUAUUUAUUCAGCUAUUUAGUGCAUAGUUUAUUUUAAUGGUUACUUGAAUACCAUAUUGAACAUGUGGUAGUAUACAUAAUAUAUACAAGUAAUGUUGUUAAAUUGUGAGUUAUUAUGUAAGUUCAUGCAAGUCUAUAUAAUAUGCACUUUAUAUUAACUGUAUUCUUGGGUUUGCCGGCGUUUAUACUUUCAUAAUAGAAAUAAUGCCGUAUGUUACGAUUUUCAGAAAUACUUUUCUAAUGAAUAAAAAGUUUUUUUACUUUUUGAAAAAAUGGACAACUUGCACAUGCGGAUCCAGGAUUUUGGUAGGGGGAUGGCAAGCCAACGUUGGGAGUAAUAUAUACUUGUAAUAGUCUAUUCAUUUGUCAUAUAUAUAUCAAAUAUGAAGCUUCAUAAGUAUGCCCCGGCCCCCUGUCCACCUUAAUCCGACUCCUGACUUUUUAGGGGUUGACCGUUUGAUUUUUCUUUUAGAAUAAGAAAGUAAAAAAAUAGAGUGAGAGAGGGAAAUUAACAGAAAUAAAAUUGAGAAUGGAAAUGGGGAAUGUGUCAAAGAGACAACAACCCGCCCAAAUAAAAAACAACAGCAGAGGGUCACCAACAGGUCUUCAAUGUAGCGAGAAAUUCCCGCACCCGGAGGCGUCCUUCAGCUGGCCCCUAAACAAAUAUAUACUAGUCCAGUGAUAAAAACGCCAUCUAAUUUCAAAUUGUACACAAGAAACUAAAAAGUUAAAAUAAUACAAGACUAACAAAGGCCAGAGGCUCCUGACUUGGGACAGGCGCAAAAUGCGGCGGGGUUAAACAUUUUGUGAGAUCUCAACCCUCCCCCUAUACCUCUAACCAAUGUAGUAAAGUAAACGCAUAACAAUACGCACAUUAAAAUUCAGUUCAAGAGAAACAUGACUGCCAAAUUCUUCUUUGAAAAAUCAAGUUGUGUUUGUUUAGCUGCCAUCAAAAAACUUAUUUUCCAUUCGAUGAACUCGUGUAAUCCUCGAUGUUUCUCUUUUAGUAACUACGUAACCUUAAUGAAAAGGUGUGCACGUUUUACAGCGUAAUUAUCAAAAGAAAAUCGAACACUUUGAUCAAACGCGCUUCAGAAUUACUCCUCUGAAUAUUUGUCAAAAAUCAGUGCACUAUUUUUUCCGCGUACUCGUUUAUCCCUUCAUCUUAACUACGUCAGCAAAAAAUCAUUAUAAGUUCGGGUCGUACAUUUUAAAAUGUAUCUAUUUUAAAUAACAUGUUAAUGAAUUGAAAUAUACAUGUCGUUUGCCUUCAUACGACCCGGAACGCCCACCAAAACAGCCUAUGGUUACUAAAUUUGAAUAAAAUAUGUCAUAAUUAGAUUUAGUUGUUAUUCGAAGUGAAAUUAAUCAUAUUAAAAGCUUAUAUCACUUUAUUUGAUGUAUUGGAGGUGGCUAGGUACAGUAUAGUACAUGUAAUUGAAAUGGGAUACACGUUUAAACUACAAGGUUAUUUAAACAGGGAAUAGGUGUAAACUGGUCCUGGUUUCGGAAAUUAAUGCAUAUAAAUAAUAAAACGUUGUUUUGAAUUUAAAACUUAUUAAAAAAGUGAAUAAAUUGUCACGUGUUCACAUUUAGACUGGAACAGCCAACACACGUAUAAGACUUUAAAUUUAUGCGAAAAUGCUCCUUGCAUUUGAGCAUGUUAACCUGGGUAUAGGAAUAUCACUGUAUUAAAGAGAUAAUCGUAACUGGGAUUACGACGCACGGCACAUAUAGGUAAAAUCUUUAAAGUCAUUUUUCUCAAAUGUAGCAUGUUUUUGUCAAUAGUUACUCAGCUACAAGGUUUUUCUAUAUCAUUUCAUCAUAUUUGAAUCGUAACGGUGCACUGGAAUUGUUUAAGCGCUUUGAAAAUUGCCGUUGAAAAAUUCGGGAUGAUAAUCUUAACUCUAUGGCAUUUUUCUUCUUUGAUAAUCGUAAUUUCUUUAUCGGAUAAUAGUAACUAAAACAUAAUAAAUGUGUCUUUCAGUAUUUCAAUGGUAUUUUGUGUGUUAAAAAUGCAAAUGUCCAGUAUAAAGAUGACAUUAACGCAUAUAAAAAUAAAUGAAGACACUUACAGGUUAAUAUCUAGGACAAAUUUACUUAUAUAUCUCUAUUUUAUAACUGACAACAAUAUGCACAACCUUUUAAUAUAUGCAUGAACCUGUUAAAGAUGUGGAAAAUGAAGCAGUUGUCGAGUCAGUUAUUGUGGUAAGUAUACUGUAGAUAUUUUUAUUUUUUUCAAAGUUUUAAUGUCGUGUGCGCGUUUAAGUUUUUAAUUUUUUUUUUUGGCGGGGGGGGAGGUAUGAUUAGCUAAUAUCCUAUAUCCCAAAAGUACAAUCUUUUCAAUUCAUUGCUCAAAAUAAAAGUCACGUAUACCACAUUUUCAUAUGUCAUAUGUUUUGCCUCCAAUACUACGUUUAUACUAAAAUUCUGGGCGAAAUGAACAAAAGUUUCCAUCAAUGACUUUAUAACUGCAUUAUCGGAUUUAACAGUUGAUAAUUUUAUCGAAAGAUAUGAGUGUUCAUAUUUCCCUUUACUUUACAAUUCAAUAAAUAUAGCCGUCCAUAUUUUAUCCCUUGGAUUUUCUUUUUUUCUAUUUUAUGCUGAUAUGAUAUAUGAUUUUAAAAAUUAAAUUCAAAUGUUUUGAUCAAUUUAAUACCCAUGUAUUUUAGGACGUUUCUUUAAACAGUGUGGAUGGUAAAGGAUCUAGAAUAGUUACCAGUUUAUUGUUACUAUUGUUUAUUGUUACUAUUGUUUGUUAUUGUUUAUUGUUACUUUGUUUAUUGUUACUUUGUUUAUUGUUAUUUUGUUUUUUUGUUUUUAUUACCCUAACCUAUGGUCUUACUAAGCAUAAAUUUUGACGCACUGAAAAAAAAACCCAGAAAUAUAUAUGAUAUAUAUGUAUAUUGAUGAAUUACAUCAGAAGGCAUAACUUGUAGAUCAUCACAGUCGGAACUGGUUCAAUUAGAAAGAUUUUUAUAGAUUUUAAAACAAAUAUUUUGUGCUUCAGAAAAAUGCAUGACAAUUAGGUAAGGCUUAUUUUUGUUAUCAUUUAAUAGAAAAGUACUAAUUAUAUGGCAAGUAUGCAAGUACAAAAAUGUUCCUUGUUUAGUACCUUCAAUAUUUUCCCCUACAAUAUCUUCCAUGCAUAUGUAUGCAUCAUACUUUUCAUAUACCAAGUAUUUUUAAAUUAGUUUGUUUCUAUAUGGCGGAAUAUGCGUUAUUUUUUUUUCUCAACAUUGCAGUCAUUCUUUGAAUAAGUAAUUCUUGUAAGAAAAUUUUAAGCUACAUCAAAUUUAUUUCUUGAUUCGCAGGCUUUUGGUCAAACUAUAAAAUAACACAAAUCCGUGUUUGUCAAUGAACUCCACGUUAGAAUGUGCUUAACUUCAUAAGACACAAAGCAUCCCAACCUUUCUCUAGUCUUAUAUAGCAUUGAAUGUUUUAAGGAUGUCAUAUUAUUAUAAUGCAAAAUUAAAUUGGUGUUGUUUAUAGUUAUUUUCUGAGAUAUCGAAAUUUCAGUGACGGUCAUGAAGUAGCUAAUAUAAAAAAACUAGAGGCUCUAAAGAGCCUGUGUCGCUCACCUUGGUCUAUGUGCAUAUUAAACAAAGGACUCAAAUGGAUUCAUGACAAAAUUGUAUUUUGGUGAUGGGUGAUGUGUUUGAAGAUCUUAUUUACUGAACAUUUUGCUUUUACAAUUUAUCUAUAAUGAACUUUGCCAUUAGUAACAGAGAACUAUAUUUGGUAAAAAUUUACAAAAUUUACCAAAUUAUGAAAAUUUGUAAAAAUUGACUAUAAAGGGCAAUAACUCCUAAGGGGUCAAUUGACCAUUUUGGUCAUGUUGACUUAUUUGUAGUCUUACUUUGCUGAACAUUAUUGCUGUUACAGUUUAUCUCUAUCUAUAAUAGUAUUUCAAGAUAAUAACCAAAAACGGCAAAAUUUCUUUAAAAAUUACCAAUUGGAGGGCAGCAACCCAACAACCAGUUGUCCAAUUCAUCUGAAAAAUUCAGGGCAGAUAGGUAUUGACUUGAUUAACAAUUUAACUUUUUGUCAGAUUUGCUCUAAAUGCUUUGGUUUUUGAGUUAUAAGCCAAAAACUGCAUUUUACCCUAUGUUCUAUUUUUAGCAGUGGCGCCAUCUUGGUUGGUUGGCCAGGUCACGCCACACAUUUUAAACUAGAUACCCCAAUGAUGAUUGUGCCAAGUUUGGUUAAUUUGGCCCAGUAGUUUCAGAGGAGAAGAUUUUUGUAAAAGAUAACUUUUUAUGAAAAAUGGUUAAAAAUUGACUAUAAAGGGCAAUAACUCCUAACGGGUCAACUGACCAUUUUGGUCAUGUUGACUUAUUUGUAGAUCUUACUUUGCUGAACAUUAUUGCUGUUUACAGUUUAUCUCUAUCUAUAAUAAUAUUCAAGAUAAUAACCAAAAACAGCAAAAUUUCCUUAAAAUUACCAAUUCAGGGGCAGCAACCCAACAACGGUUGUCCGAUUCAUCUGAAAAUUUCAGGGCAGAUAGAUCUGACCUGAAAACAAUUUAUUCGAUGUCAGAUUUGCUCAAAAUGCUUUAGUUUUUGAGUUAUAAGCAAAAACUGCAUUUUACCCCUAUGUUCUAUUUUAGCCAUGGCGGCCAUCUUGGUUGGUUGCCGGGUCACCGGACACAUUUUUUAAACUAGAUACCCCAAUGAUGAUUGUGGCCAAGUUUGGUUUAAUUUGGCCAGUAGUUUCAGAGGAGAAGAUUUUUCUAAAAGAUACUAAGAUUUACGAAAAAUGGUUAAAAAUUGACUAUAAAGGGCAAUAACUCCUAAAGGGUCAACUGACCAUUUGGUCAUGUUGACUUAUUUGUAGAAUCUUACUUUGCUGAACAUUAUUGCUGUUUACAGUUUCUCUAUCUAUAAUAAUAUUCAAGAUAAUAACCAAAAACAGCAAAAUUUCCUUAAAAUUAAAUUCAGGGGCAGCAACCCAACAACGGUUUGUCCGAUUCAUCUGAAAAUUCAGGGCAGAUAGAUCUUGACCUGAUGAACAAUUUUACCCAUGUCAGAUUUGCUCUAAAUGCUUUGGUUUUUGAGUUAUAAGCCAAAAAACUGCAUUUUACCCCUAUGUUCUAUUUUUAGCCAUGGCGGCCAUCUUGGUUGGUUGCCGGGUCACCGGACACAUUUUUUAAACUAGAUACCCCAAUGAUGAUUGUGGCCAAGUUUGGUUAAAUUUGGCCCAGUAGUUUCAGAGGAGAAGAUUUUUGUAAAAGUUAACGCGACGGACGACGACGACGACGACGCCGGAGCCAAGGUGAGAAAAGCUCACUGGCCCUUUGGCCAGGUAGCUAAAAAUAAGAUCUUGGUAUAUUGUCAAUGAGACAACUCUCCACAAGAGACCAAAAUUACCGAAAUUAACAAAUAUUAAUAUAACAAUUGGCCGUAACAAUUGCAUCUUCGCUCAUUCCCAUAUUUUUUGACAUUCCUAGUUCUUGGAAAUUUCUGUAUAUCAACAUAGUUCGUGGUUCAACCAUUUCCAAAUUUCUUGAAGCUUGUCCAAUUUUAUGAUAUACUUAAUUUACUAGUAUGUAGCUGUUUCCAUUAGAACUAUUAAUAAUAUAUGCAUAAAAAGAAAUGUCAUAAGAUGUUGGAACGGUUCGUAAUUAAUUCAUCGCCAUGAUUUCAUCAUAUGCUAUCAGAUAUACGUUUUUAAAUAGUGUCAAUAUCAAUAAAACACUUUCCAGACGAUUAUCUUUUCAUUUUAAUACCUAAUUACGAUUAUCUUUUUCCGAGUAACGAUUAUCAUCCCGAAUUUUCAACGGCAAUUUCAAAGCGCUUAGACAAUUUAGUGCACCGCUACAUUCAAAUAUGAUGUAAUGUAAGAAAAACCUUGCAACUGAGUAACUAUUGAAAAAAACAUGCUACAUUUGAGAAAAUAAUUGAAAAUUUUACCUACUGCCUCGCCAAUUGGGAUAGUCGUAAUUCAGUUACGAUUAUCCUUUAAUACCAGUGAAUAUGGCAUCCAUUGGUCUUCCUGUACAGUGGUAAACAAAUUUUAGAGGGACGCAGGUUUGACUGUACGGGAUGUAUAAAUACGCAUGUGCGGGAUGUAUAAAUACGCAUCCACACCAUGUUGGGAUGGAAACGCUUAAUUCUCCCACGUAAGAUUUCAUAUUUUGAAUCGAGUGCAUUAUUUUCACGUGUGUGUCCUUUCCAACUUUUUCAGUUAGAUGGAAAGGGAAAAUAUUUAUCUGUUCGAAUUCUCUCAUUGUAUAGCGUAAGCAAUAUUUUAUUGUGAAAAUAUUAAUAUAUUAAUAAUAAUUUUAUGAGCAAAAUACGCUCAUCUUGUUCAAGCAAACAUUAAUACAAACAUAAAUUAUACAGAUAGUGAAGAAUUUCAAAUAAAAACAAAUAAACAAAAAUAAAACAAAAAAUAUUUUAUUGUGAAAAUAUUGAUAUAUAAUAAUAAUAAUUUUAUUUGCAAAAUAAGCAGACACAAAAAUACAAACAUAUCUACUACAGAUAGUAAAGAAUUUUAAAUAUAAGCAUAAAAAACAUAGUUAUAAAUGUAAACAUUACAAUAUGACAAUUUUAUUAGUAUUAAUUCUUUCAUAUCAAAGAGCAUCUACUAUGUUUUUUUUAAUUUUAUGGUUAACUUACUAGCAUGUCUGAAAAAUAAAAUAGAUUUUUAUUAUUGAAGGCCUUUGCCCAUUGUUAACACUUUUAUAGUUCAUGUAUCAAAUGAUUCUAAUCUUUUUCGUCAAAUUCGGUAAAAUAGUAAAGUUUAUGCGUACAUUUAUGAUAUGACCUUGACCUUGCAUUAAAUAAUUCAUAGUAAUUGCUUUUUGUCAAGAGAAAGCUAUUUUGAUGCGCUAGUUGGAAUUCUUUGUACUAUGUCAACAGGAGAAUUAUGAAUAAUGAAAAGUUUGAUGAUAAAUUGGAUAAUUUUAUAUUUUCAAAGAGAAUCCGGAAUUUAAAUCAAGCAUGCAAAAAGUAUAUUGAAAUUCAUUGCAUUUUCAUCAUUGAAAUUUAUUGAAUAAUUUGUCAUAGUUGUUAUAAUUGUAAUUAAUAAUAUAUGAAUUUUAUUUCUGGCGAAGAAACAAUACAUGACCUUCACCAGCAUAAUUAAAAUAUUAAUAGUUUAUUCUGGAUUGAGGACAAUAUCAUUCUUAGAAUGGUAAUGUACUUUCCAUUUUUAAAGCCGAUCGUCUUAUUUUAGUCAAUAUGGUGCAUUUAUCUUAAACUUGAGAAAGAAAUGGGGAAUGUGUCAAAGAGACAACAACCAGACCAUAGAAAAAACAACAGUAGGAGGUCACCAACAGGUCUUCAAUGAGGCGGAAAUUCCCGCACCCGCAGGCGUCCUUCAGCUGGCACCUUAAAAAGUAUAUAAAAAAUUAUACUAGUUCAGUGAUAAUGAACGCCAUACCGUAAACUCCAAAUUGUACACAAGAAACUAAAAUUAAAAAUAAUACAAGACUAAAAAAUGCCAGAGGCUUCUGAUUUGGGACUGAUUUGUUUCACAUCUGUAUCAUUACUUUAACAGGUUGCAGUUGACUGCCCCAUUGGCAUAUCAUGUAUGUACUAAUGUUAAAUUGUGAGUUAAUCGAGAAAAACAAGUGGUUAUGUAUGCCACGAAGAAAAAAAAGUUCAUAAUCCUGAAGUCAAAACAUUUUUUUCUACUUUCUGUUUGCUGUUUUUACUAGUAAUCAUGAUAUCCUUACAUAUAUGUAAUAUUUGCCACUGGACAUUAACUUAACAAACAAUAUCCAACAAACAAAAACAGCAAAAAAUAAAUCAAACUUAACCAUUAAAAAUUGAAGAUGAAUCAGGUACCAUAAUAUAUUUAUUCUUGCUCAUUAUAUUUUUCAUUUAUACGCUCGAUCAUAAGUGUUUGUUAUUUCUCCAGCAUUACUUGCAUGCUUUUACUUCGUGUUAACAAUGGUCCCAUAAUGCUUAUUCAUGCUGUACAUGUCGUGCUCUGUGCAAAACCACGUGAUGUCUAUGCGGAGACAAGUCUUUUCAGUUUUUCUCAGGUGUAAGAACUUUCAAAAUGCAAUAAAUCAUAUUUCCCAAUCAAAUGUGUGUAAACCAUUGUUAGAAAUUCAUGAUUAGAUUUCAAAUGACGACAUCAUCUAUUCUAUUACGUUAAAUUGGAGCUGUUUUAUAAGAGGUUCAGAAGGGGAUUUACAGAAUAGAAAAUAAUAGACACAAAAACCAGAAUGAAGAGUAAAAAAAAAUGCUAAAAAAAGAAAGAGCAGAGAAUUAUGUGCCGAAAAAGAUAUAGAAUAGAUGAUAAAUUAUGAACAAAAAAAAAAAAGAACAGAGAGACUUGUCCUUGAAAAUUUAAUGCAGAAAUGAAGGACCCCAAUCUAGCAGAAUCUUUACAGAAAAAGUAUAAUACUGAGAGUAAUUUAUGGCGUCAUUUACACCUGUUGGGAAUAAUUUAAGGCAUGAACGUAGCUAAUAGCUUGAAUAUUGUAUACACUAUACUGCUGUUUAUGAUGAUGCUUCCUCUGUCCUCUUCUCCCUAUGAUUGAUUAUUGUUUCACUCUCUCGUCUUCUCAUGUUUUAUGCAGAAAACUAAUAGUUAAAGAAAUACUCAUAAAGGGAAGGCAGACAAAAAUUGACCUCUUGUUCAUGUGCAAAUGUGAAUUGGUAGUUUAACAACCUAUAGCACAAGCGUUAAAUUACAAAAUUUAACACCAUGACUUUCAUAACUAUAUUAAUUAAGUUCAUUUUUAGGUGGAGUUCGUAUUGCUAAAUAUAUACCAAAGUCACAACGAAGCAAACGACGAAAAUACAAACAAAUGUCUACAAAAAACAUCAAACAAAUUGAAUACACAUGGGGUGAUACCAAAGAGGAAUCAUAUCCUGUUCAACGCGAGACACGAGUCAUGCUGCUAAUUGUAAGUACGCAUUAGUUUUAGGUAGCACUCCACAGUUAGAAAAUAAAAUUAAAAAUGAGCCACACAAUGUUUUAUCUCCUAUUCCAGGAUUUCUAAUACAUUACCCUAACUGUUUGUGUUGUACAUGUGCAUGUAUAUGUAAUCAGUACCUUCCAUAGAUUUGAUUUUCAAAAGUUAAAAGGGUGAAAAAUAAUUCCCUUUAUAAGUGCAUCUAUGGGAAUAUUCUGCAUUUAUUUAUCAUAAAAUAUUGCAAAAAAGGGGGGUAAACAUGUCACAUAUCCACCCAAAAUUUGGAUCAAACUAGAAUUUCAAUGCCUUUGAGUGAUACCUUUUAAGAAACUGUUUUUAUAAAUCUUCCUUAUGAUCAAAUAAAAAAAGGGUGUCUUUCGCCUCAUUUUUUCGUAAAAUCAAAUCUCAAAGUUCGUGCGACAAAAAGUUGGAAAAAACAUUACAAUAAUUGCCGGACCAAUGUAUGGUAUGAACAUACAAAUACGGACUGUCAUACAGAAAACAGCCUAUAUUUUACAUACAUUAUAUGAUCUAUAUAUUCAUAUAAACCCAAUACGAAGGCUAUUUUAAUACUCAGCUAUCCAGAAAUGAAUUUUAUUGCACACUAGCUCUUACAUUUGAAAAAUCCACAGGGGUCAAAAUGCGAAACUACACACCUAACUGGAGUGCUACCUUAGUCCUCGCAAUUGAAGAAAAACGAGACCGGAAAUGUAUCGAUGAUAAUUAGAACCUGUUUGAGGUCAUCUUUAUGAUACAGGUUUUUUAAUAAAAGUUAACAAACUCAUGAUGACUUCAGAUCAAUCGUAGUUGGUUCUAAAAUUCCACAUGGAACUAGGUUAAACGCUAAGCAUCGAUAUUAUCAUACGGAGUCUAUUUUUCAAUGAAAGUUAGUGCAAGAGAGAAAUGAACGAUACAAAAGGACAUUCAAACUUAUAAGUCGAAGAUGAGCUGUCAACGAUAUGGCAAAUCAAAAAAGAAAAACUUAAAUAACAAACAACAGUAUACAAAAAAAAAUUAACAUAGAAAACUGAAUAUCCAGCAACAAGAACCCUAUCAAAACAAGGAGAAGAUAUCAUGUGCUUACAUAUGCCUUUGGAAAAUUGAAGUUCGUAUUGCUUUAAAAUUAUGCGUACGAUACUACAGGGAGAAUAAUAACUCAUACGCCAAAGAACUUGUCCCCUUGGUAUCUUCCGUCUCAUUUUCACAAUCGGCAAACCUCGGGUUACACCGCUUCUCUUCGGAAUAGGCCGAGUCGUGACGAAUGUCAUUUUCAAACUGAAUGAAAGUGAAGCUGUUGUUGGAUAUACUGAAUGCCCCAAUAUUUUAAAGUACAAGUACUUGUAAUCCUGUAGUGACACGUUUUGUUUUAAAUUAUUUUAACCAGGUUAAAUAUGUACAUGUACCAAAGUCUAACCGAUUUUCCAAACUUGCUUCAUGUAUGACAUUGAUAUAAGUUAAACUAUAAUAUGACUAUAUUCACAAGUAUUUGUAAUAGUAAAAGAAAAAAAUAAUUCAAUGUCAGGAAAAACAUUUUCUCAAUCUUUCAAAGACCUGCUAUAUUUAUUAAUCUUACCUUCUAUACAUUUCUAGGAAUGUGAUUGGUUAACAGCGCCCUCGUGGAGACCGUGUAUAUUUGAUAUUAGGUUAGUAGGGAGGAGGGCUUAGCUUAUACACGGUUAGUAGAGGUGUUACGUCCCUUUAUAUUCCUUAUAAGGUAGUAGGUAGGCGGGGCUUAUUUCAUACACGGUAAGUAGCACGCGGCUUCAUAUCUGUACACCUAUCGCAAUCAAAACUAAUGCCCGCCCCUCCGCUUUACACAAGUAGACCCGAUUAGCAUUUCUCUCCAUUCUUUGGAUUGAAAUUCAUGUUUACCAUAUCGAUGACAAUAAAUUUGAGAACGGAAAUGGGGAAUAUAUCUAAGACACAACCUGACCAAACAGCAGACGACAGCAGAAGGCAACCAAUGGGUCUUCAACGCAGCGAGAAAAUCCCGCACCCGGAUGUGGCCCUCAGCCGGCCCCUAAAUAAAAUUGUGUACCAGUUUAUUGAAAAUGGACGUCACACUAAACUCCAAAACAAAUAAAUGAACGAAAAUUAAAAAAACAUACAAGACUAACAAAGACCAGGUGCUCUUGACUUUGGACAGGCGCAAAAAUGCGGUUAAAAAAGUUUAUUUACAUUUUUACAGUGGAUUGUCUACUUUUUUUGUACACUUCCUGCUUUGUUUUCCAAUAUAAAUUAAACUUGUAUGACAUAUAACAGUAAAAACAUCACAUACAUAUGUUGUUUUCAAAAUGAAAUCAACAGAUUUUUGAAUAGGUUAUAACAAAAUGAAAUCUGUGUCACCAAGGCAUUUCCACUUCGUGUACAAUUAAUUACUUUCAUGUUUUUCAGUUAUUCAUAUUUAACAUUGUAUAAUAUAUACAUAUUUUCUGCAUCUACGAUAGAUAAUUUAGGGAGCUACCAUUUGAUUUUUAUGGGGGGGGGGGGGGCUAGGAUGAAAUUGAGAAAAAAAUAGGCAGUACAGGAGUUUUGAGUGAAAAAAAAGGCAGGAUGAGACAAUUGCCAAAAAAAAAGUCAGGACGACAAUUUAGUAAAAAAACAGUCAGGAUAAACUAAAAAAAAAAAAAAGAAAGGACCAAACAGAGUGAAAAAUAAAAAGGCAGGACAGAGAUUACAGCUAAAAAAAAAAUGCAGGACAAAAUUUUUCAUCCUAGCCCCCCCCCCAUAAAAAUCAAAUAGUAGCUCCCUUAGCUACUCUGUAACCAAUUCCAUUAUAUGAUUACCAUGUGCUAUGUUACGACUUUAGAUUCUACUAACAAGGAAAGGUAACAAAAGGCCACCAAAAGCUGAAAUUUUAGUUAUUUUUUUUUUUAUUGUGUCAAAUUAUUAUUGUGUUUGUUCUAUUAACUAAAUUAAAUUUGAAUCGUUAAGAAAGAGUCACAUAUUCAAAUAUAUUCCAAAGGUAAACUAAAACAGCAGAUAGAAAAGAAAGAGCAAAUAUCGAUGGACUGUUGUCAGAGUACAGAGAUAAAGGAUUGCAGAUAUGAAAUUUUCCUGUUGAGUUUAGCUGCAGAGAGCUCGAAAGCCACCACCAAUGGGCAGUGAUUGAUCACUACUGUGGACCACUUCUCAUGAGAGUGUACCCAACUAGGGGUCGAAACACAACUUUCUUUUUCUAUUAAUUUUCUCUCUUUCCUCUUUUUUCCUAUGAAAGUAUAAUAUUUUAUAAACUGCUUGCUUCAUAUGCAUGUCCAUUAUACAUGUAUAAUACUAUUAUUGUAAUUUUAUAUUGUAUUAUGGAGAAGACUUCAUAAGUAUGAUUUACUUGUGUCUAAUCCAUUUUGCUUUAAUUCAGCAAAUAAAAUAUGUUUAAAAUAAAACACAUGAUGACGGAUGGCCUCGGCUGAGGACAUUGAUGUUGUUUGCAGUAAAAUUCUACCAGUUCUGUAUGUAAGUAAAUAUUGCACUUUAUGUUUUUUCCAGAAUAUCUGACCUAUCAAUUGAAGUAGAGCACUGCUGCUGACUUAUUUGCAAUACUGAUACAGCGAAUCUCGUUAUCUCGAACUUGGUUGUGUCGAAAACUCGAAUGAGUCGAAGUAAUUUCUCGGUCCCGUUAAAAUAACCGUUUGAUCAAUGUAUAAGUACCUCUGAUAACUCGAACUCGGUUCAUUCGAAUACUCGGUUAAGUCAAGUAAUUUGUUUAGUCCCGUCGAUAAAAAAUAUGCUAAUUUACCCCAAAUUCUAGAUGUUCGAAAGUAAAAGUUGUCCCCAUCAGUUCAAUACACUUCUUUUAUGUCGAUAUACACAUGUACAUGUAUCCUCGUGACGACCUCAUUCAGAGCCUAUAAUUGUAUAAUACAUAUGUACAUGUAACUCUAUACUAAUAUAGUAUUUGGAACAAAUACGUUAACGGUGUGAAUCAGUACAAACAUGAAAACAUUAUGUACGUCUCUACCUCUAGUAACGGACUUUACAAGGUCUAAUAAUGGACCACAGUGGAGGAUCCAGGGAGGGGGUGUAGGGCAGUGGCGGUUCUAUGGGGAGGGGGUCCGAGGGUUGAAACCCCACCCUUUGUUUUGGACGAUCAAGGCAUUGGAAUGGGGACAUGUGGUUAGAACCCCCUUUUAAUAUGACUGGAUCAACCCCUGGGGUAGGGGAUGAAACCCCACUUUUGACGAUCAAUGCCUUUGGACUAGGGACAUAUGAUAGGAACUCCCCUUAUCUUUAGUAGGAAAGGCCUUUUAAAAAUGACUGGAUCCGCCGCUGGUAGAGACUACUGACGCGUUUUAAUUCUAUUUUUAUUUUUUUUUAAUUUUCUUUACUUGGUAUCAUCAAGGAGCUUUCACAUAUUCAAGAAUAACAGAAAAAAAUAGAGAAAAAUGCGCCAAAAAAAAACAAAGAAAAAAGAAGGAUGCCUUCAACAAUGAUCAAAACCAAAAUUUAUACUUACACAGGCAUCGGAUGACAAUUUGAAACAAUUUCAACGAACGAACAUCAAGAUAUAUCAAUUAUGUUACAUGUAUAUAUGAAACUGAAACAUGUCAGGAAAAUAUGUCGAGGUGAUACAAUUACAUGUUAUUAUAAAUAAGGCCGGUAGUUUUCUCGUUUGAUUUGUUUUACAUUGUCAUUUCGGAGCCUGUUAUAGCUGACUAUGCGGUAUGGGCAUUGCUCAUUGUUGAAGGCCGUACGGUAACCUAUAGUUGUUAAUUUCUGUGUCAUUUUGGUCUCUUGUGGAGAGUUGUCUCAUUGGCAAUCAUGCUACAUCUUCUUUUUUUAUAUGAUGGGUUCCAAAUUUUACCCGGAGCAAUGACGUAUAUUCAUAAACACAUUAAACGUCAAGCGAGACCCGACCAGCAAAAACUGUCACACAAGCAAAUUGUCAUGGCAAGAGAAAGUAACUCGCCAUACGCCUCGCACUGCAUUUCCGUAGGCUAUGUGAUGUUCGCUUGUUUAUCUGCACCCGGGGCGGAUCCAGCCAUAUUAAAAAGGGGGUCCCAACCCUGGAUAAGGGGGGGUUCCAACCUCCGGAUCCCCCUUCCUUUAAUCCGCCACUAUGCACGGUGUUGGUACAAGUAAGUGCAUGUAACUGUCUGUUAAAAUCUGCGAGAUCAGGACACAAACACGUUAAUGAGUAUUUUUUAUAACACAUCAUUGAUGAAUGAUUUCCUAUCACGCAUCUCACAAGAUUCUGACACCAGAAUAUGGACUAACUAUAAUUAUGGUAGAAAUACGCCAAAAGAGAGACAUAAAAAAGAGAAGAAUGCCUUCAACAAUGAACAAAACCAUAAAGCAUAACAACCUUCAUAGGCAUGGAAUGUCACUUCGAAACAAUUUUUAAAAGAGAAUUUCAACAACAAAAUUAAAUAUGUAUCAAUUAUGUUAUAUAUAUAUAUAUAUGAAUAUAAAACAUGUCAAAGAGAUGUAGCUGACACAAUUACAUGCUAUUAUACAAUGUACCAUACUGGGAAAUGUGUUGUUUCUGUUUGAAAGCAACAUAUUAAGUAAAUGGUUAAAAUGAUGCAUUCAGUUAUCAAACAUUGUAUUACACGUGUAAUUUAAUUUAACCCUAAACUUACAGAAGGAUGACAAAAUAUGCAAUCCAGUGUACAAAUGUCAAUAAUUUUCUACAAUUCAGGUUAGUUUUGUUAAUCUACGUGUUAAAGUAGAAGCGGGCAUAAACUGCAUCUGAAGAAAAAAAUAUAGCAGACAAUUUGAAUUUUAUUAUUCUCUCGUUUGAAUUGUUUUACAUUGUUAUUCGGGGCCUUUUAUAGCUGACUAUGCGGUGUGGGCUUUGCUCAUUGUUGAAGGCCGUACGGUGACCUAUAGUUGUUAAUUUGUGUGUCAUUUUGGUCUCUUGUGGAGAGUUGUCUCAUUUGAAAUCAUACCUUAUCUUCUUUUUUAUAUUUGGAGUUUAAUUAGACGUCCAUUUUCACUGAACUAGUACACAUAUUGUUUAAGAGCCUGCUAAAAACCACCUCCGGGUGCGGGAUUUUUUUGCUGUGUUUAAGACUCAUUUGUGGCCUUUGGCUUUUCUUUUUCCGACGUAGUCGUUAUAGUUUCGGUUUGUGCCCUUUGAACUUAAGGACGCUUAACUAUGGCAACUGAAUACGCAUGCUCGAAAAUCCUUUCUGUGAUUGGACAAAAUGCUGUCAUGGUGGGUGAUUUGGUUGUGUUUGAAAAAAAACGCCUCGUUAAUUAUAUCGUGACGGAAAGCAAGUGAAAAACUAUAAAUAUUUGAACUAGGUCUUACAAAGAUUUGUAUUUUUAUUAAAAUAAUUGUUUCUCCAAUAGCUCUUUGCAUCCAUGACAGCUGUUCAUUCGGGACAAUUAUAUAAUUUUUAAUGUUUACUUUGUUGUACGAACGUACAUGACUUUUAGAACGCACCUACGCAUGUGAGAUUUCCGCGAGGUUUUGUUGAAUGUAAACAGAAAGAUACAAGGACCGAGAAUACUGAACAAAAACAGAGAACACGUUAUUUAAAUGGUAAAUCACUUAUUUAAAUAUAAUCGGAAUAUUAACAAAACAAUUUGUAACGUUCUUUUGUUGGUAAUUCAUUGAUUUUUCAGAUAGUUAGAGCAUUGUUGUUCACAAGAUGAAGGUAGUGAACGGGCGUUGCCACCAAGGACAAAUUGUGUCAAACUAUGCAGAUUUUCAGUGCACUGCAAUCGCCUUCUUGUAGUUACAUUCAGAUGGAGAUUUAAUUAAAGAGGUCCUGCAUCAUUAAGUCAUUGUGCUUCUGAAGGUUAUCGAAAUGAUAGUUUUAAACAUAAUACUCAAAUUUAAAUACGUCGGAUAUCUUUUUUAAAGAUAGUUCUUGUUUUUCCUUUUGGUUGGGUUGUCUCCUUGACACAUUCUCCAUUUCCAUUCUCAAUUUUAAGCAUAUUGCAUGCAGAUGAAGAGAGUAAACAUAAAACAGACAAGCACAUUACCAAACUAGAGGCCCUUUGGGCCAGGUGAGCUAAAAAGAGAUAGAUAAAAGACAAAAGAACUACAGUGAAACCCGACUAAACCGAAUCCUAUAAACCAAACACUUUCGUAAGCAAUAUCAAAUUAUGUGCGUUGUGAACUGAUAAACCGUACAUCGGCCAAAAUCUAACAAAAAAUAAAGUCCAAAGAGGUUCGGUUUAAACAGUUUCACUGUAGUUGCAUGCAUACACAAAUGAACAUAUUUUAUGUAUAAAUUAUUUCUUGAAACCGUAUAGCUCUUACAUGUAAAUCUUAGUCAUUAAACAAAUGAAGUAUUUUUUAGUAACUCGCCACACGACUCGCUCCGCAUUUCUAUAGCCAACGUGAUGGUCUCUUGUUUAACACAAUGGUGUCGAUUGGUACCUGUCUCAUAAUGGUAUAGGUCAUGGCAAAAUAACGUUACUGAUUAUUAGUUUUUAUAACAGACAUCAUUGAUGAAUUAUUUUCCUAUCACGCAUCUCACAACGUUCAGACACCGGAAUAUGGACUAAUUAUAAUUAUGGUACGCAGACGAUAAUUAUUUGAUAUGUUGUUUCCGAACGGAUUUACGUAAUAGGGAAUUAUACCCGAUAACGAGGCUCGUAAUCAUUUGACAAAAAUAUACUAAGGAAACAUGAUUGAUGGUUCCUUAACGCUCUGUUUGAAAGUUUUUCUACAUAUUUGAUAGGGAGGAUGACACAUAGAAUAUAUACACGAUAAGUUUGAAUAAGCUAGACUCAUUAGUCGAAAAUAAACUGACAACACCAUGACAAAAAAAGAACAAGUCCAACAGACAAACAAUAGUACACAAAACACACAUAUAAAGACGGAGCAACACGAACCUUACCAAAUACUGAGGGUGAUCUCAUGUGUUCCGGAAGGGUUAACCGGUCUUGAUCCACAUAUAGCACCACCGUGUUGAUCAUUAUAUGCCAAUGUGAUUGAAGUAUUUCAUUAAAAAAAAUUGAGAAUAGAAAUGGGGAAUGUGCCAAAGAGACAACAACCCGAGCAUAGAGCAGACAACAGCCGAAGGCCACCAAUGGGUCUUCAAUGCAGCGAGAACUCCCUCACCCGGAUGUGUCCUUCAGCUGGUCCAUAAACAAAUAUGUAUACUAGUUCAGUGAUAAUGGACGUCAUACUAAACUCCAAAUUAUACACAAGAAACUAAAAUUAAAAAUAUUAAAAGUAAGAUGUCAAAAUAGAAUGUACACUGGACACGGGCUGAUUCAUGAUUGAUUGAUUGAUCAUUGAUGUUUAUUUAAUGAUUGAUCCAUGAAUGAUUGAUUGCUCAUUGAUGUUUCUUUAAUGAUUGAUCAUUGAUUGAUUGAUUGAUCAUUGAUGUUUCUUUAAUGCCAAGUGUGAAGUAUUUCGUGCAUAUUUAGUACAAGAACAAUUAAAUUGACAAUCAAAACAACAUUUAUAUAUAUACAUGUUGGCAGGGUCUGAAAGGCAGGUCGAAUGAGAUCAAUGGGGGGGAUUUGAACUGCCAUUUAGAAAUGAGGGUAUUUUUGAUGAGGAUUAUUUUAUUUGAAACAAUCAUAUUCGAACUUUGAGAGACUAGUUGCAAUGUUUCUUGACGGCAAAGAUAGCUUGGCAUUCAUUUUACACGGACUAUCGGACAAGACACCUACUUUCUGAACAUCCUGUACAUAUAUUAACGUUCCCACUUGAUCAAAUGUUUAGCUUCUGUAUUGAGAACAUUUGACCUCAAGUCAGUGUACAAAAUAACAUUUAGGGAACAACCAUCUAACCUCAAGGAGAAGAGUUACGUGUAUGUUUUUUUCCUAAAAAAAAUAUUCUGAUCCCUAAUCUGAUGAAGAAGAAAAACUACUGUGGUCAAGCAGAUGACAAAAAAAUAUAUUCUGAAUCCAAAUUUCCCCAAUACCUUACAGUGUUAAAUUUAAAAAAAAAAAAUUUGAUUGAAAGCGUUAAAAAAAACUAAAAAAAAAACAUUCUGACUCAGACCAAAAAAAAAAAAUCCCCCCUUUUUUUGCAGUUGAAUGGUUGUUCAAUUAGCAUUGCCCUGUCCUUUAUACAUUUUUUUAGAUACAAAUCAAGCCAUCAUUAACUGAGGUUGUCAUUUUCGUUUGACCUGAAAUUUAAUCUGAUGACAUUUACUUAUAGUGAAAUCAAUUGCCAUCUACAUAAGUGCAUCACGUUACAUAAGUGACGACCUUGACCUCCAGUAAAGCCUAAUCCUUAAAUGUAAAGAAUGUCACGUUUGUAGUUUUAUGCAUGUAACAUAUACAAAAUGUAUUUAUGAAGAUAUUGAUUUAGUAUUUAUAUAAGAUAUGAUUCAUAUUUGUACUUCUACAAAAUGCAAGUUUGUUUUACAAUCAUUCAACCUUGUGGGCCAACAAACUGUUUCCUUUGUGGUGGUGUCAAUUUAAUUUGUACUUUUAUAAUUUUGGUCUUGCGCGUUACGUACAAGGAAAGCGUAGUAUAAUGUGUUUAAAACUACAAAAAAAAAAAAAAAAAAAUAGUGCGGUUGUAUCAUUGUAAAAAAGGAAAAGAGGUACAUGAAUAUUGUAAAAAGUAAAAAAAAAAAUAUUUAUUCUUAAUUUCAGGACCAUAAUUUCCUUUCCUACUUCAAUCUUGCAGAAUACAUUGUGUUAUACAUUACAUGUGUUCUCAUAUCUUUUUCACAAAUUCUGUAGAGCUUUGCAGGGUAGGUAGGGUUGGUAAAUGUUUCUUUUCUGAUUUGUUUAUAAAGAUAAUGUCUUUUCCUAUUUUUUUUAAUUUUUGUUUGUUUUUUUCCUACAAUUACACUCUUUUCUGAAUUCUCCCUUAGAUCAGCAAUAACUUGCACUAGUAAAUUGAAAGUCCAUCAGCGACUUUUGGAAGCUUGACUACCGGACAUUCGAACUCCUUCAGAGGAUUGCCAAACCCUGCAGCGACUUGUGGAAGCUUGAAUACCGGACGUUCGAACUCCUUCAGAGAUUUGCUAUGCCCUUCGGGGAAUUGUGGUUACUGAUUACCGGACAUUCGAACUCCUUAAGAGGGUUUUUAACCCUUUCAGCAACUAGUAGAAGCUUGACUAUCGGACAUUUGAGAACUCCUUUCGAGCCCAGGUAUAUUUGUAGUUCCCUUCGGUGACUUAUGGAAGCUUGACUACCGGACAUUUGAGAACUCCUUUAGAGCCCAGCUAUAGGUGUGCAGUGCACUUCGGCGACUUAUGGAAGCUUGACUACCGGACAUUUGAGAACUCCUCCAUAGUCCAGCUAUAGGUUUUCAGUGCCCUUCGGCGACUUAUGGAAGCUUCACUGGCCACAGACCACAAUUAAUUUCUCUGUCAGUUCUUUAUAACGUUUUGCAUCAAUAAAAAAAUUGCACCAUGCACUUUUGUCAAAUUUUUUGUGUGUGUAAUGUAUAGUCCAAGUCCAAAUAUAUAUCCAAAAUUCAGAAAGAUUGAAGCAAUCACUUUUACAAAUUUAGCCAAUACACAUCCAUACCCCUAUUGACAAGUCAAGAGAUGUUCCGAAAACUGUAAAUAUUACCUUUUUGCACUUGGCCUAAUCACUCAUUUCAAUUAUAAAAAUCAAUUUAAAUACAACAUCCAAAAAUUUAUUUCACCUCUCUUCUUUCAUUUCCACCCAAAAAAAAAUCUAAGAAAUGAGUGAGGAAGGGAAAGAAAAAAAAUUAAGGAAAAAUACACUCUAAUUAAAAGGAACUAUAUUCUAUUGUGGUCUUGGGCCCACGUUCGAACUCUUUCAGAGUUUCACUAUGACCACAUUUAAUUUACAUCAUGUUGUUUUGAUAUAAACAUGUACAAUCUUGUACUUUGUGAACUUUUCCUCUAAAUGUAGUGUUACGUACGACACAUAGCUAUAUGUAACACAAUCAAUACAGACCUUGUCAUAAAAGAUAUUAAAUAUGUGUUUACAAUGUUAAAAUGUACCGAUUAAUACAUGUACGUGCGUUUUCCAAUGAAAUAUGAAAUAAGGUGUGGUAUGAUUGCCAUUGCGACAACUAUAUACAUGCAUAGAUCCAACCGAACGAAACGAGACAACUAACAACAUGAUUAUGUACACAAAACGCCAAACGAAAAACUAGUAAAAAUAGAGCAACAAGCGACAACUAAAGAAAUACAGGCUCCUGACUUUGGCCAUGCAUUUAUCCUGCAAUCAACCGUUCAAAUUGUACAGAUAACACGAGGUUAGACGUUUAUAGUAUAUCUCCAGGUAUCCUGGUCAUGUUAUGAGUAUACGGUAAAACGGUUGUUUUCUGAUCUUGCAUGAAAUAUUUGUCACUGAACGUUAAGCAACCAGCAAUCAAUCAAGCAAAUUACAUCACUUCAUUUUGGGGUUGCAGUUUGUGUUUAACCUUUUAAGUCAUGUCUAUUUCACCCCAAAACAAAUUAAACGAUCUGGAUUGAAAAUGACUAAUCGCUUAAGCUAAUUUAAAAUGUUAAAUUGCAGAAUAAAGACACUAUUUGUUAAGUGCAGGAACAUAUUAAAUUUAUUUGCUCUCGCUACGAAACAGGAAAGAUUUUUUCUUGUAAAUGUAUCAUGAUGGUCUCCUGCCAAACGUACCGGAACCACCUAUUCAGUUGUACGUCAGAGCACAUCGAUGUAGGUACAAAAUAAAAACACAUACCAUUUGUAAAUAUUUUGUUAUUGUAAAUUGUGAAAUUCUUAAAACCCUUGACAAACAGCUAUCAAAAGAAAAUAAAAUGUUAUUAAAAAAUUAUCAAUAAAAGCAACAGAUUUAAUUGAUCGCGGGGCAUUAAUUAGGAAUAAAUUGUAGAUUUCACAUUUGAAGACGAGCCAUCUUUUUAACUUUUAAAUUAUAAAUAUGCAAGACGCACACAGUCGACUGAUUGUGUUUUAAGUAAGCACUCAUGGAAUUUAGAUACUAUUUUAUUAUCAACUUUUUUCGGGUGAUGUAAAAAAAAAAGUUGAAUGUUUUGCAAAAUACCGAUGUGUUUAUUUUGGGGUAAACAUGUGUCUCCUUUUUUUUCAUUUUUGAAACUUGUCUGAUAUUAAUGACUUAAAAAUCAGCUGCAAAAAUAUAGCAACACCGUUCGGCGCUGUCCAUAACUCAGUUAUAGAUUUUCAAUGGUAUUUUUAAACCAGAUGUCAUAGUUAUAUGCAAACUACCGAUGUGUUAAUUUUGUUCACGAAACUAAAAUGGGAUUUUGUGGUUAACAUUUCAUUUUAGAAAUUUAUCUUAUCUUAAGUGGCAAAUAAAGCAACACGGACGUAUCCGUAAUUCAGUUAUAAAUUAUCAAUGUUAUUUUUAAACCAAAUGUAAUAGCUCUAUAAUUAUCGUCGUAGGAUGAUUAGCGGCUGGGAGUUAAAUGUCACUAAAGCUAUCGUUUCUUGUAAACAAAACUUUUUUACAAAAUGUUCAGUUCUAGACUGCGACACGAGACGUGUAGGUUAAUACAGUGAAACCUGUUUAAACCGAACAUUUUCGGGACUUAGGAUUUUGCUCGGUUUUGGCCGAUGUUCGGUUUUAUCAGGUUAACAGCGCACAUAAUUUGAUAUGACGGUGUUUACGAACAUGUUUGGUUACGACAGGUAUUCGGUUUAUACAGGAUUCGUUUUAGCCAGGUUUCACUGUACAUUGUAGAUUAUUUGUAUGCACAUUAUGUUAUCAUUUCACAAAUUACAUAAGGUGGGUGUAAACCGGUUUUUGAUAGAAAACAAUUAUACAGUUUAUAUACAUACGGGAAUCAUAGAACGAAAUUGAUCACAAAUGCUGACGCAAAAGAAAUAAUCCGAAAACCACCGUCAGCAGGUUUUAUACGAAACUAAACGAUGAUAACGGAAUCUGAUAAUAAAUCCGUAGGACCUGAUAUCACGCAAAUUAAGUACGCAGCUACAUUAUAAUAUGGGGUAAAAGUGUGGUGGGGGUAUAUUCCGAGGCUUCGUGUAGAUACAUGUACUAAUGGAUAGUCAGAACAAGAUCGCGGGAAAAGAAUAUCCUGGCCUAUAAGGAGCUGGGUUUUUUUUAAAUCUUCCCAAUAUGGUCUGCUUUAGAAUAUAAUUGUUCACAAAAGUGUUCUCAAGCUGAAUAAUGUUACUGCAAUUUAGCAUUUAAUUGAAUUCUAAGGAAACCCAUGAUUUUCAAAUGUCUUUUACAUAAUAUGUUUGCACCAUGAACCUUUGAAAAGACUCUAACGCAUUGGCGGACCCAGGGGGAGGGUUCCGGGGGUUGGAACCCCACUUUUUUUGGCCGAUCAAUGCAUUUGAAUGGGAGCAUAUAGUUGGAAUCCCCCUUUACUCUGGGUUGGGAACACCCCCCCCCCCCCCUUUUAAAAUGGCUGGAUCCGCCACUGUAACGGUAGGCUUUCUAAACCUUAACUGUGGUGGACACGUCAACAAGACAGCAACCCAUCGACUCCCAAAUGCAAAGAACAUCUUCACUCUUGUUUGUUUGAUAUAUGUCUUUACAAUAUGUUGGACUAUAAAGCAAAAUCGUCAUUUUUACUUCAUUUUAAUUCAAUGUUUUGGGCAUCAAUGGCAAAAUGCUAUUUAAUCAAGAGCCACAGGGAAUAUAAGUAGCAACAAGGGCUCAAUUCUACAUCCCUCUUUAACCUCGGAAGUAGAAAAAAAAACAAAUAUGAUGCAGCAACUGACAAUGUAUCCGUGAACAGUUAACCAAAACCUCGCAUUCGUCACAACUCGGCCGAUUCCGUACCUCGGAUAGAAGGAGAGUAGCAGAGUAAACCGAGAAUUGCCGAUUGCCAAACCUCGUAUAGUCUUGGCAGUAAUCCUACGACAGCGUAUUUCCUGAAGAAGAGACCUGUUGCCAGCGUUGGUAGGAAUUUAUUAGGAAACGCAUCAUUUUAACAUGUACUUAUACAUCUAAGUCAUAUGACUUAAAACUACAUGACUGCACUUCCUAUACGACAGUACAAAUAAAAUGCAUCUAGCCAAUUAGGAAAUCCGUUUUAAUCUUUUAUUUACAUGUACCACGACAAUAUGUCAAUAUCUACCCACUUAGAGCAGAUAUAAAUUGUCAAAUUGUAUGCAGAAGCUAACAUUCAUAGGUGUAAUUUAUUUACGUCUGCUUUUACAUAUACCGUCUGGAAUGUUUAAAGGAAAUUCUUUAGUCUGCAUCGGAAAGGAUAACUAUUUUUAUCUCGUCCGCCGGUGUUAUACUCGGUCUGUAAUGGCCUUCACCUUCGUAAUUGAUUUUGGUCUCGGUGUUUCGAUUUAAGUGGCUGCUCGUGAGUUUUGUAUAGACAAAAUCCAUAUUUUGCGUAUUAAAUAUAACUUUAGCAAGUGCACGUGUACAUGUACAUGUAAUGUAUAAGAUUUUGAUUGAUUUGAAUAAUUCAAAUAUAAAAUAAAACCGAAUUUUGGUCAGUAUUAUAAUAUGGAAAAUCAAUGUCGAAACAAUAACAAACUUUGCAUAGAUUUUUCAAACCGAACGGGUGCAACAUGUGGAUCAGGAUCUGCUUACUCUUCCGGUGUACCUGAGAUCACCCCUAGUUUUUGUUGGGGUUCGUGUGGCUUAGUCUUGAAUUUUUCUAUAUCGUGUCUUGUGUAAUAUUGUUCGUCAUUUUCAUUUGUAGACUAGGCGUUGUCAGUUAAUUUUAAUAAAUGAGUUUGAAUGUCCCUCUGUUGUCUUUCGAGCUACUUUUAAUAGAUGUUUUGAUAUUUAAUUUGCAUGAGGUCCAUGUCUAUUUGAAGCAUAUAAAUAAUAGCCUGGUAUGUUUGAUGCCUUUAAAACCACUUGCUAGAUAACUCUGUUUAACCAAAAAGGUUAUAUCUCAUAUAACCCCCUUGGUUUGACAAGUUUACUAUUCGUUACAACGGUUUAAAUAUUCUUAAUAAUCGUUACUAUGGAUCAAUGUUUAAUAACGGAUUCAAAAUCUAUAACAGACCGACAAAAUAGACAAUUCCUCCGUUUCCAAUCUGACCUCUGUUAAAGUUAUCAUAUAACGGAUAUGUGCAUUGUAUCUGUAGAUUUACAGCUAAUUUUUAUAAUGCAUAUAGAGCAAGACUUUGGUAAGUUUGCUUGCUUUGUUGUAUAUUGUACAAUUGUAAUUGUUAUAACGUCCAAUCAAAUUUAAAUAUAAUAUAUACAGGUUAAAAUAUGUCUAUAAUAUAUAUAUAUUGUUUGAAUAUGUCAAUCAUAACUACAAAACUAUAAAAAUUUAUACAAACAAAGCAAGAAAGCCAACCAAAGUUUUACUCUGCAAGCAUUAGGAAAAUAGCUGUAAGUGUACUGACAUGCCCGUUAUGUUUCUUCAUCAAUUGGCAAUGUUGCUUCAAAUUUAAUUUCAGCUUCAUCAUGAAAAACGUUUGUCAACGGUGUUAUUUUCGAAGAAGUUUGAAGACCUGAACCCACAAAUCAGGUAAACAAAAAAAAAUUGUUGGAUUAAUUAAAGACAUAAAUCUAAACAACAUGGAUCACGUGUUUGGUUCCUAAAUCUGUUAUACAGCUUGGUAUCUGAGGUUGUUCGCCUAACAGUUAUUAUUGUGUCGUUAUUUUUAAUAAGUAAAUCGAUCGGUCAGAUUUCAGUACGCACAUGUAAAAUUGUCUAUAUCCGCCUAAAGACGCACAACAGUUUAUAGUACAUAUAGGCUAAAUUCGGUCAGGUAUCUCGGUCACUGUGAUUCAAAUUUAAUUUUGACAUUGAAGCGACGCCAUUUGUUUUUUUGUUUUCAUUUGCUAAUGAUUCAUAUGGAGAUAUCUUUAGUUCCAGGAAAACAUUGUUUGUUAUGAUUGUGUGUGAAUUUAUGAUGCAUCGUUUAUUCAAUUUCAAUAUUUUAUUGGGAAGAUCACAAUAGAGGUGUGAUCCAAAUACAGACAACAAUAAUGUUAAAACAGCAUAUAAAUAAAAUAUAGAUGCAUGUAACAAGUAGUCAUAAGUAAUUCUAUGGAUACCGUAACAUUUUAAGUAUAUUCUGUGACUACGAUUACAUUCUAAUUGAUGAAAUUUGAAAAAAAUUGGCAGGACAGGAGUUUUGAGUAAAAAAAAAAAGGGCAGGAUGAGACACUUUGCAAAAAAACAAGGCAGGAUGACAAUUUAGGUAAAAAAAAAGUCAGGAUAAACUAAAAAAAAAAAGGCAGGACCGAAUAGAGUGAAAAAUAAAAAGGCAGGACAGAGAUUACAACUAAAAAAAAUGCAGGACAAAAUUUUUCAUCCUAGCCCCCCCCCUCCCCCCCCCCCCAUAAAAACACAAUCACCUAUAUAAGAUAUGUGUAUUUGCACACAAACUACUAUAAAGGAGCAUUUAAAGUAAACAAAGUGCAUGUCACAUCUGAUGAUUAAAGAAAAUCGUUCACAUUGGUCUGUCAAAAAGUAAAAUCACAAAAAAUACCGAACUUAGAGGAAAAUCAAUUCGGAAAGUCCAUAAUCAUAUGGCAAAAUCAAAUAACAAAACGCAUCAAAAACGAAUGGACAAGAACUGUCAUCUGUAUUCUAAAAUCAGUCAACGAUGUCAACAAAAACCCCACGUGCAUUGUUCUGUAUGUGUUUUACUAAAAUCGAUCAAUAAUACCAAAUCCCUCCGUGUAUUGUAUGUGUUUUCUUAAAAUCGGUCAACAAUGGCAUAUCUGCCGUGCAUUGGUCUGCAAUACAUGUAGUUAUCUAAAAUCGAUCAAAGAUGUCAAAUUCAACGUGCAUUGUAUGUGCUUUCAAAAAUCGGUCAAUAAUGUCAAUUCCUCCGUACAUUGGUCUGUAUGAGUUUUCCUAAAAUCGACUACAGUGUCAAAUCAUCCGUGCUUUUGGUUUGACCUCCAUUUCCAAGAUUUUCUCACGUUUAACAAAUUUGUUUACGAGUUCUGCUUAUUUUUUUUUUCCAAUUUUAUUUCAGGAUGUCUGAUUACUUCAAAGAAUAUUUUUUUCUAAGAUUACAGUUCUGAUUUUAAAUUUUAAUGAUUUUCCUUUUCCUUAUAAUUUCUUGCUAUAAAUACUUUAAUUUAUAUAGAUUUCUUUAUCAAAAUGCAAUACUAGUAUUAUAUGACGCAUACCAAAAUUGAAAAGAUUUAAAGAAAAGCAGAAUUAGAGUUUGCAAAAAAUACAUAUUUAUCUUGCAUGUCAGGCGUGGAUUAGAUUAAUUGAAUACACGCACCAUAUCUCGUUUGUAUGUUAUAAUAUAUACAUGUGUGAUAUAAUAUAAUUAUUUCUGCGUAUAUCGAAUUUCUAAAUGUUUGAAAAAAGCAAAUACGGUUUCAAUGAUAAGUAACGUGGACAUUACCGUGACAUUUAGGGAGCUACAAUUUGAUUUUUAAGGGCCGGGGAGCUACGACAUGCAGGACAACAUUUUUUAAUCCUAGCCCCCUUAAAAAUAAAAUGGUUGCUCCCUUAAACCAAACUAAUAAAUCUGUAUGGCCAUUCUCUCGAGUCAUUAUUUCGAAAAGCUAAAUUCAAUCCACCUAUAUAUGCACAGAAAAUUUGUUUACCCCCAAAAGUUGUAUACUUUGAGUCGUUUAAGGUAGAUCAUAAGUAAAUGUUUUUUGAGACAGAAUUUUCUUAUAAUUUGCCAAAAUGAAGAUUUUACUAUGCUUUUUUCAAAAAUAUAAUAAUUAGUAUGGGUCACCGUGCUAUUUUUCUAGCUAUGAGUCGUUGAAAAUUGCCUAAAUUUGAUAGUUUGUUCAAGAAAAAACACAUAAGAGUGCAUAAAUUUAAAAAAUUCUAUGACAUAGAAUUUUGAAAUAAAUUGUGAGAGAGAUAGGUUUUAUGAUAUGUUUUAAGAAAAUAAAAAGAAAACAUGGUGUCACCGAACUUGUUUUUUGCCACAAGUAAAAAUAAAAAAAAUCCCUAUUAGCCCAGUAUAAAUUUUGUACUAAAAGAGUUAUCUCCCCUUAAAUGGCUCAUUUGAAAAAAAAUGAUUUUAAAAACCACAAAAGGUUGAUAUUUGUUAAAAUAUUAUGAAUAAUACAAUAAAUUAACAAGUUUUCUUUGUAUAAAUAAACAGUCUAACCAUAAAAUUGCAAAUCUGUUUCCAAAUUUGCUGAUUAGGGCAAAUACCUAGACCGAUUUUGUACUAUGAUUGUACAAUCCAAGAUGGCGGUAUACCAUGAAUCUACCUUAAAACAGUAAGCAAAUUGUUAUCGGCGUGUAAUGAUUUAAUCAUGAUACAUUGUACCAAGAACACAAUCGGCAAUCCUCGGGUGACUCCGCUUCUCUCUGUUAGAUGAGGUACGGAAUUGGCCGAGUUGUGACGAAUGACCAAGAACACAAUCGGCAAUCCUCGGGUGACUCCGCUUCUCUCUGUUAGAUGAGGUUCGGAAUUGGCCGAGUUGUGACGAAUGACCAAGAACACAAUCGGCAAUCCUCGGGUGACUACGCUUCUCUUUGUUAGAUGAGGUUCGGAAUUGGCCGAGUUGUGACGAAUGACCAAGAACAACGAAAAUACAAGAGUAUAAGAGUAUGUAAUACUAUAUUAUUGAGUAAAUCCGGAUUGAGCUUGAUAUAAAACCAGACUGAAGCGUUACAGCUAAUUUCCUAAUGCUUGCAAGGUAAGACUUUGGUUAGCUUCCUUGCCUUGUUUGGUAUAUUGACAACUGUAAUUGGCAUAACUUUCAAUCAAAUUUAAAUAUGAUAUAUAAUUGUUUAAUUAUGCCUGUCUAUAUUGUUUGCAGAUGUCAAUCUUAACUACACUGCUUGAUCUAACCUAUCAUAUGUACAAACAAAACAAGCGAACCAUCUAAAGUUUUACUCUACAAGCAUUUAACAAUUUUGUCAGCUGUAAGAAAAGAGAGUAAAAUAAGUAUCGCUCAAAUCCGGAUUAUGCUGGAAGUGAAAAAUAAUGAGACUAUUUAAUCGAAACGAAUUACGCCAUCGAACUUUGAUGAAAUAUCAUGAUUAAUCUAUUUUAAACUCUAUAAUUACACGUACGAGGAAGUCUUGCAUUUAUCAUUUACAUAAACUCACAAUGUUAAUUUAGGUUUCAAUAAUAUUUUGUAAUAUAAUCUUAGUAAAGUAUUAUUAAUAUCAUGAUACUAUUCAUUAUCUAUUUUUAUUUUAGGUAUGAAUCAUAAAAGAUCAAUGGAAUUACAUCAUAAAUAUAAUAGUUAUUAGAGAAAAAAGAUCCAACGUCCACGUUUUGCUUAUAUGGAUUUCAUGUAACAACAAGCCGUUCUACCUUCUAUUCUAGUAAGUAAUUCGACAAAGUUGAAACUCAGAGAAUCCCGAAGUCGUUUAAACAAAAAGUACAAAAGAGCGUACAUUGUGUGUAUACAGCGAAGAUAUAUUUAUGAGCAUCUAUUGUUGUACAUGUCUCGAAAAAUUUGAAAUGCUACAAGAUAGGCUUAGGGAGCUACCAUUUGAUUUUUAUGGGGGGGGGGGGUAGGAUGAAAUUUGAAAAAAAUAGGCAGGACAGGAGUUUUGAGUAAAAAAAAAGGCAGGAUGAGACACUUUGCAAAAAAAAAGGCAGGAUGACAAUUUAGGUAAAAAAAAGUCAGGAUAAACUAAUAAAAAAAAAGGCAGGACCGAAUAGAGUGAAAAAUAAAAAGGCAGGACAGAGAUUACAACUAAAAAAAAUGCAGGACAAAAUUUUUCAUCCUAGCCCCCCCCCCC